rnacentral:lncRNA from 1 species
AACUGGGAACUGAGUUUGAGCUGAAAGAUCUGGGAGAAAUGAAAUAUUUCCUCGGAAUGGAGGUGGCCAGAUCGAGCAAAGGACUUUCUAUAUCCCAGAGAAAGUAUAUCCUAGAUUUGCUAGAGGAAACCGGUAUGACAGGGUGCAAACCGGCAGAUACCCCAAUGCAGUCAAAUCUGAAGUUCAGUGUAGAAGAAAACGGGGAAAAAGCAGACAAGGGAAGAUACCAACAGCUGGUAGGAAAGCUGAUAUACCUGGCACACACGCGACCCGACAUAGCUUUUGCUGUGAGUGUGGUUAGCCAGUUCAUGAAUGAACCAAAGAGUGAGCACAUGGAUGCUGUAAACUAUAUUCUUAGAUACCUAAAGAAAACCCCAGGAUUGGGGCUGAUGUUCAAGAAGAAUGAGAGCAGGUCAGUGGAAAUAUACACUGAUGCAAGCUGGGCCAGUGAAAUUACAACGAGGAGAUCGACCACAGGUUACUGCUCUUAUGUAUGGGGAAAUUUAGUAACGUGGAGAAGUAAGAAGCAAUCAGUGGUUGCACGAAGCAGUGCAGAAGCAGAAUACCGAGCACUUGCUCUCGGGAUUCAGGAAGUUAUGUGGAUACAGCGAGUUCUAAAGGAACUAGAGUUACCAGGACACGGGAGAGCUACACUAUACAGUGAUAGCCAGUCAGCCUUAAGCAUUGUUAAGAACCCUGUACAUCACGACAGGACUAAACAUGUCGAGAUAGACAGGCAUUUUAUCACUGAGAAGGUGGAAAGGGGAGUUGUGGAUGUGAGAUAUGUCCAGUCCAAACAGCAGACCGCUGACAUACUCACAAAGGCACUUCCACGAGAACAGUCAGAUCAUUUCAAGUCCAAGCUGGGUUUGUACAACAUCUACACCAAGCUUGAGGGGGAGUGAGGAAAUCCCGUUCCUUAUUUGUAUACAGUCAGAUCUUAUUAGUUUAUUUGCUAGUUAGAUAGUUACCAUAUUAGUUCUAGUCCUAUCCUAGUUUAGCUAGCAGAUCCUAUUAAAUAGUUAGAGUAGAUAUUUUCUUACCUAGUCAGUAGGAGGAAUGCUGUAUAUAAUAAACCUACGAGACAUGAAUAAAAGUAAUUCAUUCUCUCAAUCUUCAGAGGUGUUCAUGCAUGGCUGUUCUAUUGUGUCAUUGUUCACCCAAGUCCUCAAUCUCUUAAAUCCUCAUUAUCGGAAUACAAUUCAGGUGUGGCAAGCUCUUCUUGCUGUAAGAGCCCUUGUUCUUCCCCCAACGGAAGAUGUUGACACUUGGCUUAAAUUUGCUUCACUUUGUCGAAAAAAUAAUCGGAUAAGUCAGGCCAAGUCCACUUUGGUUAAGCUUCUACAGGUUGGUGAUGCAUGUGUUUACUCACAUGAUAGUGAUUUUUCUAAUCAUUUUCUAGUUUCUGUUCGGUUCUGACCACUUUUCUUUUCUCCAUUGUUUGACAUGUUAUUUAGUAUGAUCCGGAAACAUCUCUUGAAAGUGUGCAAUGCCAUGGACCUCCCCAAGUAAUUUUGGGAUAUUUAAAAUAUCAGUGGUCGCUCGGAGAGGAACACAAACGAAAAGAAGCAUUUGCUCGGUUACAGGUGAGAUGAAUAGCCUUUACAUUGUGCAUAUUUUUUAGCAACAUAAGUAACCUACUACGAUGAGUCUUUUUUUAUGUGGUUUUCUGGACUGUUGGCAGAGUUUGGCUAUUGAGCUUUCUAGUGCUCAGUCAGUUGCUUCUGUUGGUUCUCUGAGUACUACUAGUGGAUAUGCACCCCUUCUUGCUCGUGUGUAUCUUAGGCUUGGGACUUGGCAAUGGGCGCUUUCUCCUGGACUGGAUGAUGAAUCCAUACAAGGUGGUUUGUCCCCAUCCUUGAUGGUGUGUCUAAAAGGUGGUGUUGUCAAUUUUCAUCUUUUCAUCGGUUUAACCCUUCCUUUCUUUAUGUAGAAAUACUCGAUGCGUUUAGGAAUGCCACUCAGUAUGCGACAAAAUGGGGCAAAUCAUGGCACACAUGGGCGUUGUUCAAUACAGCAGUGAUGUCCCAUUAUACAAUGAGAGGAUAUCCUGAUGUAGCCUCGCAGUUUGUUGUUGCAGCAGUGAAUGGAUAUUUUUAUUCAAUAGCUUGUGCAGCUAAUGCUAAAGGAGUUGAUGACAGCCUGCAGGUAAAUGAUCGAAUCAUAGCUGAUCUUUCAUCAUUGUAAUGCUUUGUGAACAAUAUAUGUGGUUCCGUAAUGUUGCUUGUGAUGGUUCACCGUCUCUUUUCGGUCUUUUCACAUUAAUGUCUUCCUGUGGUUAUACUAAUCCUUUUGCAAUCUCUGGUUCAGGAUAUACUACGCCUUCUUACCCUCUGGUUUAAUCAUGGAGCCACAGCAGAAGUUCAAAUGGCCCUGCAGAAAGGAUUUGCUUAUGUUAAUAUAAACACAUGGCUGGUUGUUUUACCUCAGAUAAUUGCCAGGAUUCACUCUAACAAUCAUGCUGUUCGAGAACUCAUACAAUCACUUUUAGUGCGAAUUGGGCAGAGCCAUCCACAGGCAAGUUAUUAGAACCUAUUUGUUCACAGUUCUAAGCAGAAAAAUUGUUUAUUUUAUAGGUGAAUAUUUCUUAAUUACAAGGUGAAAUGUUCGUCAUGGCUUACUAAUCUCGCAUAUUCCAUAUUUUGUAGUAGUUUCAUUUGAUCAUGAUUGGUUCCUCCUUUUAUAUUUCCCUUCUUAUCGAUAGUUUUAUUUUGUGUUUACCUCGUCCAGCUAUCCGACCUUUCAUCUUAGCGGUUAAAUUUAUGUUUUUCAAAAUAUUAUUUGUGCCUCUUCCUUCCUACUCCGUGGACGGAAAGAAAAGAUGGACAAUCCUGACUGAUUUGAGUUCUGGUGACGGUUCCAGUGUUGAUGUACACGUGCAUGUUUGUCAAAAUGGUCAAUUAUUGUUCAUUGUAUUACAGUGUUAGUCAUAACUAUGUUUUGCCUCUAAGCAUGUCUGAAGUAUCAGAGUUGUUUUGCAGGCUCUUAUGUAUCCUCUUCUUGUUGCUUGUAAAUCUAUAAGUAAUUUACGAAGAGCGGCAGCUCAGGAAGUGGUGGACAAAGUUCGACAACAUAGUGGUGUGCUUGUUGAUCAGGUUGAUACAAUUAUCUAAAUGUUAUAAAAAUCCUUCUUUCUGAAUCCGCACAGCACAUGCUAAUUUUGAGUUGAUUGUUUAGGCACAACUUGUAUCAAAGGAACUGAUCAGGGUCGCGAUUCUUUGGCAAGAAAUGUGGCAUGAAGGCUUGGAAGAAGCCAGCCGAUUGUUCUUCGGGGAACAUAACAUAGAGGGAAUGCUGAAGGUGUUGGAGCCUUUGCAUGAAAUGCUCGAGGAAGGAGUUAUGAGGGAGAAGACAACCAUAAAGGAGAGAGCAUUCAUUGAGGUAUCCCGUAACGUUUCUUAUAUCUCCAGUUUGUAUCUCUUUCAUCUUAGUUCUGUGUGAAAACUACUGACCUUUGUAAUGAGGUUGUUUGACGGUACACUUUUCUCCUUUCCCUGUAGGCAUACCGCCAUGAAUUGCUAGAGGCUUGGGAGUGUUGUAUGAAGUACAAGAGGACUCUAAAAGAGGCUGAACUGACUCAGGUACACAGCAGAGAAUAGUAUUGUCUCGUCUUUGGAGAGGACUAUUAUCACUGUUUUCUCAAGUCAUGAAACGGCGGUAGUAUUGCAGUGUUAUUGACUACCUGACUUAAACAAUCACAACUUAGAAGGUUGCAUGAUCACCUUUUGGUUGUCCUUGAGGGCACUGAUUAUCUAUGCACACAAUUGUUCAACAGGGCACAUUAUUGUUUUAACUGGUCCACAUAAUUGAUUGAAGAAUGAAAUAAGUUUUAAAUUUUUUACCAGGCAUGGGAUUUGUACUACCAUGUAUUCAAAAGGGUGGACAGACAGAUUCAGGCCAUGACAACCCUGGACCUGAAGGCAAGCAAAUUUGCUAUUCUUAAGUUCUAUUUAUAUAGCAAGGUAAACUAAAUUGGAAUUAACUGCUAUGUGUUAUAUGCAAACAGUCUGCCUCUCCAGAUUUGGUGGAAUGCCGUGACCUGGAACUUGCUGUUCCUGGGACUUACCAAGCUGGUAAACUCAUUUAACUUUUUUGUGUUUAUGAAAUGGAUUGAAAGCCAUGAACUCCCUAAAUUUGAAUUUUUGCCUCCCAGAUUUACCUGUAGUUACAAUCGCAUCAUUUGCACCUCAGCUAGCUAUAAUACAAUCUAAACAGCGCCCCCGGAAAUUGACGAUUCUUGGCAGUGAUGGCAAAGAUUAUGCCUGCCUGCUGAAGGGACAUGAGGAUCUGCGCCAAGACGAACGUGUGAUGCAGGUAAGCUGUUCCUGAUUGCUGUUAACCAUUGGUAUUGAAUGGUUUCACUAAAUGCCAUUUGAAGUUUCUUUCCUCAAACGCUACCCUUACAUCAUCGAUUGAGGUAUAGAUAACUUAUCCGAAGUUGCAGUCUGGCAAAUAAAAUCACGCCUAUCUUGACUGACAUAGCUGCCCCCCAUCCCCUUUCAAAGUUAAAGUUAGGACCAGUUCUACUUUAUCUUCUUAAAUUGCAACCAUUUUGAAUAUUUUAGCUCCUUUGUUUGGAGUUUCAACGCUAUAUAAACAGAUAUAUUGUGUUAUGUUUAUGUCAGCUCUUCGGUCUAGUCAACACACUGCUGGAGAAUUCCAGAAGAACGUCAGAGAAGGAUUUGUCAAUUCAACGAUAUUCUGUCAUCCCAUUAUCUCCAAACAGUGGAUUAAUUGGUUGGGUUCCACAUUGUGACACCCUGCACCAGCUCAUCAGAGAAUACAGAGAUGCCAGAAAGGUUGCACAAUUUCUACUAGCUUCAGUCCUUUUUUUCUGUUGCAUCAUUGCGUAUUCUCAUAAACAUGUGAUAUGAUUAUUCCAGAUCACCCUGAAUCAAGAGCACAAGUACAUGCUCAGUUUUGCUCCGGAUUAUGACCAUUUACCGUUAAUAGCGAAAGUUGAAGUUUUCGAGUAUGCUCUUUCAAACACGGAAGGAAAUGAUCUGGCUAGGGUAAGAACUUUGAAACCUAUUCCUGACGUAUAUCAUGAUUUCCGUUCAGAAUAUCUAAGAUCAUGCCUUCUUCUAGGUUCUGUGGCUGAAAAGCCGCACUUCUGAGGUAUGGUUGGAAAGGAGGACAAACUACACUAGAAGUUUGGCAGUUAUGAGCAUGGUAAGUGGGCGGAGCCACACAGCAGACAUUUUUAUUAGGUAGUUAGCAUUGGAGAUAAAAAGAAGUUUCUUUAUAGCUCCCUUCUUUACGUAUGAUGUCUUUAGGGUACGCUUGGAUUACACUUCUUUGUAUGUGUUCUUUAACAGCUUCUAUAAAUAUAUUUAUUGUUUGAUCUAACGACACAUCGGUUGAUAACUUCCCUUCGCAUUCCUAGAAGGUGAACUUACAUUUGUCGAUAAUGGUUAGCCUGAUUGCCUCCCUUGAGAUGAAGUGGUUGAAUACAUCAGAAUCUUCUGCUCCGGAUAGAUAUUUAACUUGUUACGAAGAGUUUACUCUAAUUUGUUUGGCAUAUGUUGCUGAUUUACCUAGUUUCAUCUUUUUACAAAUAAUAAUUUCCUUUGAUUUGAUUUGAUUUGAUUUGCUUUUUUUUUUGCAGGUCGGUUACCUUCUAGGUUUGGGUGAUAGACAUCCCAGUAACCUUAUGUUGCAUCGAUACAGGUAACUAAAAACAAAAGGCGGAUAAUAAGAUGAAUCUUUGGACUCAAACUCUUCCUCACGUGUUAAUAUUUGCAGUGGGAAAAUCCUACACAUUGACUUUGGUGAUUGCUUUGAAGCUUCGAUGAAUCGGGAGAAAUUCCCUGAGAAGGUCCAUUUUAUGAGUAUUAUUAGAAUGCUCUACUUUGGUUUUGUGGUGGUUCUGUGCUAUACAUGAAAUAUAUGUUUUGUGUUGUGCAGGUCCCUUUCCGCUUGACUAGAAUGUUAGUGAAAGCCAUGGAGGUGAGUGGCAUAGAGGGGACUUUCCGCAACACAUGUGAGAACGUGAUGCAGGUUCUUCGAACGAAUAAGGAUAGUGUUAUGGCCAUGAUGGAGGUAUGUACCAUUUUCUUCCUUAAACCACAUUCCAUGUUCCAAAAGUUUGAAAUUAGAAAUUGUUGUUUAUGAAUAUCAUAAAAUAUCUGCUUCUAAAAACCAGAUUCCCAAGGAAUUGGUUAACGCGUUGUUUGGAUGUGAUUUGAAAUAGAAGAGAUUUGAAAUAUAGCUAGAGAUUUGGCAGAGCUUGCUAUUUUCGAAAUAAAUUGUUUGGAUAGGUGAUCUGUGAUCGGAUUUGAGUGCAAUUACUGUAGAUAGAGAAAAAUAAAUAGAGAAAAUACAAAUGCCCGAAAGCCCGAGUUUAUUUAAGUCAUAUCAGCUACAAAAAGAACCCACGAAAUUCUCCGAGCCCACAAGGUGAUUUCAAAUCACCAAAUCUCUUCCGACUUAAGUGUCCAAACGGGUGAUUUGGGAUCAAAUCUCCACCGAGAUUCAAAUUAACCCCAAAUCACUUGUCCAAAUGACGCGUAAGAGUUUGGUGAAAUACAUUAGAAGUUCACUUGUGGAGAAGACCAAAACAGGUGAUAUUUGCCGACUCAAAAGUAAUCCAAUACAUAAUUCUUCGUUCAGACAUUUGCCGAUAUCGGUAUUCAGAACGAAUAUUUAUCCAUGUCGAUCGACUAGGAAUAUAAAUCCAAUAUUGGUUUGUUGGCUCGAAAUGUUUUCAGGCCUUUGUCCACGAUCCUCUCAUCAAUUGGCGUCUUUUCAACUUCAAUGAAGUACCUCAAAUGUCUACGGCAGCUAAUUCUCAUGGUCCUGCGGUGGUAAAUUCCGAGGAAUCUGCUCCAAGUAAAGAGCAGCUUCCUCAGCCUCAACGUGGUGCUCGUGAACGGGAGCUCAUUCAGGUAUAUUUUUCAGUUCAAGUAUUUAGUAGAUGUAUCUGCCUACUUCAUCAACGAUGACACCCAUUUCCUUCCAACUCGUAUUUGCAGGCUGUUAGUCAGCUGGGGGAUGCAAAGAAGGUUCUGAAUGACCGCGCCGUCAUAGUAAUGGCUCGGAUGAGCAACAAGCUCACUGGACGUGACUUUUCGUCUUCGUCAGCAUCUGCGAGCCCCAUGCAACCAGCAGUAGACCACAGCUCCUUGCUAGCUGGAGAUGCGCGGGAAGUUGAUCAUGGGCUGUCAGUUAAAUUGCAGGUUCAGAAGCUGAUUCUUCAAGCCAUGUCGCAUGAGAAUCUAUGCCAAAACUAUGUCGGGUAUGGUCAUAUACUAUGUUACACUCAGGUUAAAACUUCUAAUGAUCUCCAAGGGGACGUAUCUAACAUUUGUGCUGGUUCCUUGUUUUUUGUUUGUAGGUGGUGUCCGUUCUGGUAAGAAACCAGUGAUGAAGACGAGACAGUAAGAUGUAUAUAAGGUGUAGUUGUGCAUAGGAAGCAGACAUGAUUAGAUUUCUCUCAUUUUAUGAAUACAAGAAAGUGGCAAGACUUUGUGUCGGUUUGUAUCGGGUUAUUCAUAGAUUUCGUGUGCGUGUACAUAGUGGAAGACUUAAUUGUAUCGAAACUAUUGUUGAUUAUGACCGUAGAGCCUAGUUAGAAAGAAUAAUGGGAACUAUUAUUCGAAGCCUUAACUUAUAUCAUAAAACUUGCCAUGCAUCAUGGUGAGUCAAUAAUGCAAAGUCAAAGCAGCCAAAAGAGGAAAUAGUCAUCAAAUCAGAACUUUGAGUUCACUCGGCUGUUGAACUGAACUUCAUAAUCAGUUACGGGCGCAGAUACUUUGUCUGAAUAAGAUGCAUCACUCUGAUCGAACUGCAAACGGAACUGCCUACUGGCUUUGAUUCGAGCAGUACUGUGUGUCACUUAUUUUUUUCAGUUGAAGAUGGACAAGGCGGACGAGGCGCAAAUGUCAUUAUAAGAGAUAAAGUGUUCAUAUCUGGCGUACCUUCGGGUUGCGAACCACAUAAUGCAACUAGGUCUGGAGCAACACAAUGCAACUAAUUGCACUAUUCCACGGGUAUUGCAUAAUUUCAUUUAUGGUUUUGGUGCGAUUUAAUGAAUCAUGUAGGAUAAUGAGUUUGUGUUCAUUAUUCACUUCGACCCACAUCAAACCAAACCUGAACGAACUUCUGUUAACUUUCAAGGUUCUGUAUGAGCUAAACAUAAAAUCUCUUUUGUUAACUUUCAACUUUUGCAUACAUGAAUUGGUUCAAAGAAGAUACUGGUAAGUGUGUUUGGGCUUCACUUUUGUGAAGAGAACACGACACUUUUAACACGCAGAAUUUUCUAUCUAAUCAAUAAAAAGAAAAGGGGUGGCGUCAAAGGAAACAACCAACCCCAAGUUGCUCCAGUGAUAGAUUUUCUUUCUUUCUGUACAUGUUUAAUAUCUUUCUCACUCGAAAAGGUGUAUUAGUAAUAUCUAUCUAUGUAGUCAGUCUCUUCUUCUGCUUGCUCUGCGCAAUGCUCAGUAGGAAAUCGGUGAAUAUCUGCUCAUAAUCUGGCAUUUUCCCAUAACCUACAACGUGUAUACAAUAAUGAUAAGAAAUAAAUGGUCGACUUAUCGAAGCCGCGGAAUGAAUCCAUCUGGUCGCUCAAGCUUCCAGCAAACAAUGUGCGAUUGCAAAGUGGCAGCUACUUACCAGGGAAGUAGUUGAUGUCGAUGACAUAAAAGACAUCUUUCGUCUCGUGUUCUCGAAUCAUAUCUAUGUUGAACAACCUCAGUCCCUACAAAAUGUCAGUAUAGACAUGUUCAUCCAUAUAAUGUACUAAUGAAUCGAGUAGCCGAGGAUAUAGACAGUGGGGAAGAGGGUACCAGCUUACGACGAAGCUCUUCUGCAAGCCUCUCUAACAAAGGUCGCGGUGGGAGUUCUGAAAGACGAACCGACACAAUACUUCUCAUAUAACAACACACAUACAAAUUAUCUAAAAGGAAGCUAAUUUAAUAAUUUACCUGCAACUGAAGGAUCUAAAUCAGCAUUAUCCGCGGAGGCUGAAGCACACGAAACUCGGGGGAAAGGCAUCAGGCCAGCUACUUUUGCUAGCUCACGACUACUGACAUUAGGCAGGGAUAAACGUCGGACAACUUUGAUGGCUUCACCAAUUAUGUAAAUCUUAAACAGAACACCACCUAGCAUGAAUUAGGUUAUAAGAUCAUCGUCAGAGAAAGCAACAGCUGAAUGAAUUUGAAGUCCCAACCUGGGAGUUACCAUGAUUUACAAACUCCUGCAGGGCCAAAGGAGGUUCAAGUUCUGAGAGAGAGGAGUGAUCAUAGGCAAGACACAACUCAUGUGAUUUAGCACUUCCAUCCACCAUUAGUGGUUUUGCAACUGAAAAAUUCACGACGAAAUCAGCUUAUCGGAAUUUUUAUACAAAGAUGUAUGAUUCUAGAAACUAUACCUAAAGGUAGCUUUAUUCCAGCCUUGGAAACUUCGAGAGCAAUGGAUGAUGGAUCUCUGUGAAUAACCAAUUGCCUUGGGAUACAAACUUUACCUGCAAAUAAUGCCAAACGUGAUGACUCGUAUCUCCUGUAGAGGCUUAGAACAGGAAGAUAUCGCAGGAAAUCUAAAGACUUUGUAGACUUGCGUGGAAAUCAGUACCAUAGGAAUCGGACAAGUUCAGAUCAGCUACAUGUUGGAGCAUAGACUGUCGAUUUUGCAGAUGUCUGAUUGCGUCUGGAGGAUCAAUAACAGUCACAUCUGGAUGCUUUUGCAUGUAGUCCUUCAAUGAGAAGAAAAAUACAAGAAAGCAAGGAGUAGAAAUGAGUACUUCCAGUGUGCCAGCAGUAAGAUUUUCAAACUAGUGAGCUUGAAUUAAGACAAGUAACAGUAAACAAACCUCAAUUACUUUGUACCAAUCGUUCCCUAACACCUACAAAGAACAUAAAGCACUCACACAUUAGACGAACGGAAAAACAAACUGAAGACUAUGAAGUAAAAUGACACUAGUAAAAUGAUAAGAGGUUAAGAAACCAGAGACUGACCUUGUGUAAAACAAUGUCAAAAGGCCCUUGAUCAUCCAAUGGUUUGUUCUGAUCGAUAGCAAUGAACAAUACCCCGUUAUCUCUGUACCAUAACAUAAACAGAAAACACUUUGGAAUUGCAGGUGUAAGCAUAACCAAUUACAUCGAAAAUUAUGUGAAAAGAAGAAUGCAGAUGCAAACUUAAGACAGAUAGUAGGAAGAACAAUUGAAGUAAGGCAAAUUAUAGGCCAAAUGAACCAGAACAACCAACAUUUCAAAGUACAGACCCAAAGCAAGAUUUAUGUAGCAUCGGCAUAAAGAAUUUAUCUUCAAGAGCACCACUAUGAAGGAACAGAAAGAUAAUAGAUGUUCAUUCCUGGAAUCAAAGCCUAUAUCGUUAUCGAAACAAAAGAAAUGAACUUUUUAAUUACUUCAUUUUACUGAAGGCCAAGAAUACAACUUUAACGGAAAGGGUAAAAGUGUAUAGAUGGAUACCUUGCUAGCAAUUGAAACUUAGGCUGCAAGAAGCUAUUCUUCUUCUUGGAAGUCAAGGCGUAGCCAACCACCACCAAUGGCGGCUGCAUUGACACUGAUUCCAUCCCCUCACCUUCUUCUUUGUCUCUCUUUUCUCCUUCCCCUUGCGAGAUUUCCCCGCUUAACCUCAUACUUUGCCAACCCAAGAACACACAAGCACAGACUCCCAGAUCCUAGUGAAGACCGGAGAAGGAAAAUACCUAAAAAAUCGCUUCAAUGAGCAACACUGAGGCGAAAUAUUAUGAUUUCGCCCAAUUCGGGAUAUGCCCUUUAACCCUGAUUGUUCAUAUAGACAAUCGGGAAGCGGAAAGCGACAGAAUGCUUGAAUUAAGGAUGGGAGAAGGAGGUCAGAGUCUUCAAUGGCGAUGAUAGUGUUGAGUGUAAGCAUUUGGUUACUCCCGCUCUAGAAAGAGGACGGGAGACAAGUGCCACGUGCAGAGAAAUGCAGCUAGUGGAAAUAUGAAGACAAAAGCUCAAAAAGAUAUUGGGAUCUGUUCUUUUCAUCAUGGAAUAUUCAAUUCCCAUACAUAACACGUGGACCAUAGUGGAGAUUUGACCCCAUUGAUGUUUGUUUGCCCAUAGUGGAGCAUUGGCUUUUCUUGUGGAACUAACAUGCGUCCCAAGUUGAGUCCAAUUCCAACCAAUCCUUAUACAGAUAGCAGAGCCAAUUCUGUUUUCGUUUGCAGACAAAUUUUAAAGGGUCACUGUGUUUCUUAAUCCUUCUAAAUUGCAAUUCUCAUUACUGCAGGUGUCAGAAAUUUUGAGCGAAAGCAACCAUAAUGUGCCAUUUGGACAUAUGUAUUGCAAAUUCAUUUUACUGGUGGGGAGAAAGAUUAGCAGAGCUUCAUCCUAUUUUUGACACCAAUCUGAUGUACAGAUCCCCUCUGUUCUGUUCUGUUCAUUGAUUUCCCAUUGAAAAAGCACAGACCCUGUCAAAGUGUCGUCAGGACAUUCCAUUGACCAUCUCCCCAACAAACAAAACAUUCGUUUGAUUAUUAUUUCACCUGUAACCACUCUGUGAAAACACACGAAGCUGUAGCAAGCAAGCUAGGAAUCAAUCAAAUCAUGGUGGUGGAGUCGAUAAGUCCGACUAAGAGGUUCGAAUUCGAUUCAUAUGAUCAUGACACUGAUGAUGAUGGACACCCCAAGCGCAAAGGUACCUCCUCGUUAUCAUUAAUUCUGCAUCUUAAUUAUCAUUUUCUUCAUUGUUAAUGAUCAGUAAUAUGUAUUUUCCAAUUUCACAAACCCAAUGCCUAAUUAAGGUCAUGUGUUGUGUUUGUUUCGUGUGGAAUGAAUGAAGGGACGAUGAUGACGGCAAGUGCGCAUAUAAUAACAUCGGUAAUAGGAUCAGGGGUGCUAUCUUUGGCAUGGGCUACCGCUCAAUUGGGAUGGAUAGCUGGACCCGCUAUUCUCUUUGUGUUCGCUCUAAUUACUUGGUACACCGCUCAACUCUUAUGCGACUGUUAUCGUUGUCCAGGCCCGCAACAAGGCACUCGUACCUACACUUACUCUGGCGCUGUCAGAGCCCAUUUAGGUAACAUUUAUUAGGAUUACUUUACCUAAUUACGUUUAGGCUGUUUACGAACUUAGUGAAACCGAAUUUUAUUGUGCUCAAUGUUGGCUUAUUUAGUUUUAGACGAGCUAAAACAUAUUAAUUUGUCAUGAGCUCGAGUCUAUUUGAGCUUGACUUGUUAACUACCUUUGACGAGCUGAACUCGAUCUUUCGGUCAUUAAAAUUUGCUAAUAAGGUCUAUUUUGGACUAAUUUUGAAACUUGUACACUAAAAAAAUAUCGACGAGUCAAGCUAAAAAAAUAUCCUUAAAUUUAUAAGUUUUUACUUUUUUCAAUUAAAACAGUGAAACCUAAAUAAUGUGUCACUUGCAUUUUCAUUAACACAUUCACAAAUUAUAUAUAUAUAUUAUUCUAUAUGGUUUUCGACGCAAAGCACAUAUGUUGCAUUGUUGAAUCUACCAACGAGUUAUAUACUCGAGGUAUAAUAUUCGAGUUGGCUUUCGAGCUCGAGUUGGCUUGGGAGCUUAUCGAAUCGAACAUACCCCGCUCAAACUUGACUCGUUUAAAAUCGAGCUGAAUCUCAAAAAAAAUUUUACUAAACCAAACGUCGAACCGCUCACGAGCGGUUUGAUUUUCAACAGCCUUACGUCUCUUAAUCUGAAUUUUUCUAUCCAUUUAACUAUAGGUGGGAUUAGGUCCAAAUUUUGUGGAGUAGCUCAAUUCAUAUAUCUUUUAGGAUCUGCCAUUGGAUACACCAUAGCUACACCCAUCAGCAUGGCGUAAGCUCUCCUUCCUUCAUUACCUACUUCAUUUCCUUAUUGGCUACAUGGGAGCAGUUGUUUAUGACUUGGAAUUGAAUCUAUGUACGUACCUCGUUCAUGCAUGCAUGCACAAAAUUAAAGUGCCAUCCAAAGAUCGAACUGCUUUCACCAAAAGGGACACGAAGCAGGGUGUCACACUUCCAACAACAAGUUCGUCAUAAUAUUUGGAAUCAUGCAAAUAUUACUGAGCCAGCUUCCCGAUUUUCACAACCUUGCCUUCAUCUCCGUCAUCGCGGCCAUAAUGUCUUUUGCCUACUCCAUUAUCGGCCUUGGUCUUUGCAUCGCCACGAUCAUAAGUGAGUAUCAAUCUAUGUACCUUUCAUCUUAGGUACGGCGAUUCUACUCAAUUGUAAUGAAAAUUCAAGCCAAUUAUAGUCGGUGGAGAUUGUGGUACGUACGUUCGUACGUAUCCCCGCUUUUUUAGGCCUAUCGUAUAAUGUCACACUAUAACGAUAUGUAUGUACAUGAAUGCAGAGAAUCAUGUGCAUGAGAGCACAGGAUUAACAGGGAUUAAGAUAGGGGAAGGAGGCGUUACAAGCUCAAUGAAAGUGUUUGACGUUUUACAGGCCAUAGGGGACAUAGCAUUUGCCUACAGCUACGCCCCAAUCCUUCUUGAAAUUGAGGUAUAUAGUAUAUAAUUGAUUGGAAAGAAUCCUACAUUAUUUUGUAAAAAAAUCUAUUUUUUAAUUAUAUUCUUAAUUUAUACAUUGAAUGAACUGGUAAUGAUGUUUUGGCCGGGCCGGCCACCUAGGACACACUAAGAUCAAGUCCGCCGGAGAACGAGGUGAUGAAGAAGGCAUCAACGAUGGGCAUAGCAGUUACGACAUUGUUUUACUGCCUGUGCGGCGUACUCGGGUACGCUGCCUUCGGGAACAACGCACCGGGAAACUUGCUAACCGGGUUCGGCUUCUAUGACCCGUUCUGGCUCGUGGACAUCGCCAACCUCUUCGUGGUGAUCCACCUCGUAGGCGCGUACCAGGUAUUCAUCCAGCCGACGUUCCAAAUAGUGGAGCAAUGGUGCAACAGGAAAUGGCCCGACAGCGGCUUCUUGAGAAACGAGUACCCCGUAAUGGGCGGGAAGUUCAGGCUGAACGCCUUCAGGCUAGUAUGGAGAACCUUGUACGUUGUCAUGACGUGCGUGGUCGGGAUGCUGUUCCCGUUCUUCAACAGCGUGCUCGGUUUGCUCGGUGCGAUGGCGUUUUGGCCGCUCACGCUCUAUUUCCCGAUCGAGAUGUACAAGAAGCAGGCUGGGAUUGAGAGGUUUAGUCCGACGUGGGUGUGGGUCACCGUUUUGAGUGGGGUUUGUUUGCUUGUGUCGAUACUCGCCGCCGUUGGAUCUGUUGAUGGCAUCAUCAGUUCGCUUGAGAAAUACAAGCCUUUUAAGUUCGAGACUUAGCAGCUAGUAGUAGUACGUACCGUACCUUCACCGUACCGCACACCUUGCUUGAGAUUUAUUGCUCUUUUCUGUUUUUUUUAAACUAUCCCACCUGUGGUUAGGGCUGUAUCUUGUGAGAAACGUAACACACUCGUGUUUAUUUUGAUGGAAUAAAUCUUUUAUGUUUUUUUGAACUAUCGGUCACCAUCCUUCAUAAAAGAUAUUUCUGAUCCAUUCCAUAUAAAAUUGUUGGCUCCUUUGCAAUGACCAAUCAACCUCCAAUUUUGUAAUCAGUACCGACGACCUCAUCUUGAAACUUCCGAUGAACGGAUGGUGAGCAUCUACCGUGAUAGUGUCGAGUGUUGAAGUUGUUAAACAGUGAAGUAAUGCAAUCCAAUAUAAGAUACUGUUACAAAGAAUCAUUUACAUAUACGUAUAAAGUAAAGCAUAUACGGCCUCCCCGUUUUAAUUUACAAGUCCUUGACCCGUGCAACGAAUACAGUAGCAAAAAGAAUGAACGAACCGAUUUUUAAAAGCAAAAAUCAUUGAUUAAUAAAAUAAAUGAUUGAUCAACGAGGCCUACCAACAAAAAACAGUAAGGAGUAAACUCAAAAAAUCAAAGGACGGUGCCUUCGUAGAUUGUAGCCAUUCGGAGCUUGAAAGAACCAACGGCCGAUCUCGCUCGUCUGGAAGCAUACCUCUGCAAUUUCCUAAUAGAUCUGGACCUCCGAUAUUGACGAGCCGGUUGCAUCGGCGGCUCCUUGAUCAGCGGCAGAUUAUAAUCGCUAUCAUCUUCCAGGAAGUGAAGAGGAGAAAUGGCGCUGGAUUUUUUAUUGCCUGAGAUCUGGAGAGCCUGGCUAGCUCUGAUGGCUAGAGCUGCCAUUUGCGGAGCAGUGAGGGUGGAAUUGAGGUUGGAGACCGGCAGGAGGAAGUAGAGCUGAUUGGGGAGCAAUACGACGUCGGUGCGUAGAGCAGGGAUUGGUUCGUCGUACGAUAAGAAAUCGGAAUUGCAGAUGAAGUAAUCGGAGGCUGCAGACUCGUGGCGGAGAACUUGAGCGACGGAGACGAGCGGCGGGGAAUCGGGGAGAUCGCCGGUCAGGGAGACGAGCUUUGCUGUAGGCGGAAGAGAAUCACGGUGAGAAUCUGAGGACGACGAUGAGAAACACACUCCCAUUUUAGAUGAAUAAUUAAAGAUGGAUGCAGUCCAGCUAGUAUGUAGUUUUUCGUAUUUAAAAGAGAGAGAUAAGUGAGGUAGUGGCGGGCGGCUUUUACGCUGAUUGGUUUCCAGGAUGCUUCCUAUUACCAUCCAUAAUAAUAUUACUAUCCUUGUUUAGCUCAGCGAUGACGUCAUAAUCUUGUGUGCUUUCUUGGUGGCACCCACAAUUUUAUAACCAAAUUAGUAGGUUUCCCAAACCUUAAUGAAUAAUUAUAAAUAACUCUUUCAAACAGACGAUUAGGGUACCCCCAUCCCCACCCGUGGACUCAACAAGACCAAAAAAUAAAACGUGGCACAUUUCGUCACAUCCCCCAAAAUCUCCCAACAAUUUCAAUCCGCCGUUCAUGGUCGUCCACCUCACUUUAUCGUUUUAUCCCACGGCCCCACCGCCACCAAUUUCCACGCAUCUACUUCUGAUCUGCUUCCUGCCGCCUUCACCCCCCACUCCACAGAGUCAUUCAUAACUCAUCAUCAUAUGUCGUCUCUCGCCGCCGCCGGCAUCAGUCACUCUCCCCGCCAUGUCGUUGACUGCCGGUCUCCCCUCUCCACGACAAGUGUUCUAUCCCCCCGCGCUCCUUCUCUUCCCCUUCCUCGCGCCUUCUUCACAUCUCAACUGAAUUACUCUCCCAGAUUUUACAAUUCUGGAAAACCCCUUCCUUCUCGUCCUUUCCUGGGUCGCCCGGGCUCCAGGCGGAGCUCCGAUUUCAAUCCCAAGGUCGACGAUAGCGUCAGUUCCAGAUAUUGGAGCCGUUCAAUUGGUAGGUCGGAGUUUGUGGACGACGACGAAGUUGAUGAUUAUGAUGACGACGAUGAGGAAGAGGAGGAAGAUCGGAGUCUCGAUCUGUUCCUCAAAUUCGUUCAAAAUAUUUACAAGAAGAUAUCUAAGCGAGCGAGGAAGGCCGUGCGCUCUGUUUUGCCCGCUAUCAUCCCUUCUAAAUUGGUAAUCUUCUCAUUGCUCUGCAGCCACUUCCCUUUAGUUUUAGUUUUUUGUUUUCUGGAAUUGGUAAUUUACAUAGAGAAACUUAUCCUAUUUUUGGCUUCUUAGGUCGGGUUUUCGGUCGAUGGAGUGAUAGUGCUUGCGUUCUUAUGGGUUCUGAAAGCAUUUCUUGAGGUACGCAAAUCUCCAACUCGUCAGUCUUCCCGUGAAUUAGAGUUAAUAACUUUCUGUGAUCAUUGAGUUCUAGAACACCCUAGCUUGUGUCUCACUGUACGUAAUUUGGAGAUCAUGUUUAGCUAAUAGUUGAUUUCAACUUCAAAGGGGGGCUAUGGCUAAAAGAUGCUCUUUGGCUACUUGGCUGAAUGACUGUUCAUUGCUUCAUCAAUUUAGCAUGUGAAAACCUCUCUGAUAGCUCACGGACCUGGCUGGUUGGCAAUUUUGUUCUUUGGGUUGAAAACAUGACGACAAAUUAUAAGUGUGCAUGGUUUUUCCUUGGUAAAGAUUAAUAAUUGAUUAGUUGGAGUGUGAAUACUUAGCAGUUAGUUGCUUCCUCACAUAUUUGGUUAGUUCAAACCAGCAGUUAUCCAUUGGAAUGUAGCAGGACUUCGAAAUCUCUAUAGUUCUGCUGCCAUAUGUUGGCUGUUGGGGGAAACUAUUAUUGCUUUCAUUUGCACCAUAUAUUGUAACUUGGACGACCGUGUAGAUUUAUGCUCGAUAUUAUCCCUAGUGCAGAGGCUAGAUUAGGAGUUGAUCUCAGAGGACUGUCACAGUUGGAGUUUCAUAUGCCAACUUUUAGAAAGAUGAUGAAGGAAACUUGUUCAUAUCGAAGUGAGCUGAAUAAGGAAUGGAAUAGGAUAGGAAAUGAGGUAGUUUGGACAGUCACAGAUGCCUGUGCUAUCUUGGUUUCUAAUCAAUAAUGCAGUUAGUGCAAUAUUCUGUGGUCUCCUUUUGCGAUCAAAUUCCUUUCUGGUUGCAGGUGGUUUGUACGGUUGGAAGUGUGGUGUUCGUGAGCAUCUUACUGACCCGUGUUGUAUGGACGGGUGUUGCGUAUCUACAAGAGAGCCGUAUACUGAGGAUGAAUGGAGAAGAUGAUGAUGAUGGUGAUCGACGUGCUUGGACUGGUGUAAGGCCAGCAACUUGACCGGUUUCUGACGUUUAUCCUCCUUUCAUUUGGAAUCUUCGACGAUUCAGUCGCUCUAACCUACUCUUCAUUCGAGAUUUGACACAGCUGAUUGAUCCUGCACUUCUGCUAAAAUGAUGGGAUCAUCAACUGAAGAUACAAAUUCAAUAUACCAAGAACGUUACAGAGGUUUUUUGUGGACUUUUGAUUAGUAAAUAAUUCAGUUUACUCAAAAUUGACUUCCUUUGCCUGCUGCCACUGCUUCUGACAUGGAAGAUACAAAUUUGUGUAUGGGGCAGUGGUUGUAGUUAUUAGGAUUUCUCCCUUUUUUCUAAUUUACACUCUACACCAAAGAUGAUGAUUGGUUAUAUCUUGUAAAGAAUUCGAAAUACUGGCAUAGUUGAGAUGGAAAUAAGUAACUUGACAAAUUGUCAAUGGCACUUACUUAGCUUUUGAUCUGAUGUAAAAACAAUUUUGUGUACUUAUGUCGCAUUUUGCGUCCAAAAUGACAGUUCAACUUUAUACAAAUUCGGCAUUCAAAAACUCGAUGAUCCCUUUGUCUCACCGGUUGAUUAGAUUGGAGAUGCAUAUGGUGGGUGAGUUCAAAGUCGAGUUGAGGGCUUGAGGGCUUGAGGCAUUUGAUUUUCGGAGGCACUUGAAGUUGUUGACGUUUAUAGUUUAACUUAAGAGACUUAAGAAGCCUCAACCAUAUUUGAGUUACCCCGAUUCGCAAAGUUGCCUACGUAAAAUCUAUGUGAGAACUCCACCCGAUUGUCGUGGGAUGUACGGAUCCAUGAGUAUUUGCUUCUCAACAAGACAACAACUUCAUGAAAAUCACUUCCAUGAUCAUUCCUCGAAAGUGUCUCACCUCAUGUUUGUGGAUGAUAUGACCAUCUUGCUGAGGUCCUGGCUAGGGGUAUUAAACAUUUAUUAGAUUUGUUAUCUUGGUUGACACCACCUGACCGGUUUGGUCUUGAAGGGACGGGUUGAUUAUCCGGGCAAAAAUGAUGGUUCGAUAAUCCUCUUAUUACCAAGGCAUUUGCUCUUUUGCCUUUGCUUCCGUUUCUGAAGGUCAAUGUAUCUUUGGACGGGCGGCACUUCCAGCUCGCUCCCAGAACAAAAUGAGCAGCAUUGCAAUGUUAAGGCCUUGCUUUGCUGCUGCUGCUACUACUACUACUACCACUAGGCUAUCUGCUCUCCGUUUCAAAACAAGGGCUUUCUCGUCACCAACGUCCAACGGCUCCAACCAGUCUCGCGGCGGACUCCCCCGCUUCUUCUCCGAGCAACUCCCCUCGUCUAAGGUACUCUAUUCCCUCCCAAUCUAAUUCCAGAGUUCGUUUUUGCGAGAAAUCGUUGCCUUUACGCGUUUUAGGUUGGUUAGGAGAGUGAUUUUCUAGGUUUUAAGCGUUGGAAUGACCAAGCUCGUUUCAGUUGAUCAGCAGUCGAUAUAAGUUUCCACUCUGUAUAGAUUAUUUGAUAUACCUGCAAGUUUGAUGCAGCCUCCAGAAUUUCCAGCCUGUAUUUCUAAUAUCUAGUUGCUCUUCAGGUGCUAGACGUUAGGUUUAAACUUAAAGUUGUCUGCUGUAGAUAUGAAAUUAAGUUUACAAGGUGAUUGGAGAUGGCCUUAAUUCAGGUCCAGUUUACUGCAGGGAGGUGUUGUUCGUGUACAAGGAGAUGAGUUUUGGCACAUGACUAAAGUCCUAAGGUUGACUGCCAAUGACAGGUAUAAUUUAUGCAUGGUAAAGCCCUCUAUGUUUUGCCUACUUGUUUUCUUGGUGGUUCUAUUUCUUGCCUUUGAAUAAAGUUUGAAAUUGUUGUGUUGGAACCCUAAACCAAUAUGUUCAUCGUUCGAGUAACUCUAUCUGAUAUUUUAUCAAAACAAACUAUGUAAGGAAACACAUUCGGGUUUUGGUAUCGUGGUAAACCUAUCAGUAGGCUUUUUAUCCGGCUGAGUAGUUAUUUCACUGUAGUUGUACCGUCUCAUUUUUCUGAAUAUUUGUAACGGAAGGGUGGAGCUGUUCAAUGGCAAAGGAGGUGCAAUAGAAGGAUGCAUACAAAGAAUUGACCGUGCUGGACUUGACUUUGUUGCACUGGAAAAUCCCAAGCUAGUUCUUCCUCAAAAUACUCAGUGGCAAGUCUUUACAGCAUUUGGUGAGUUGAAACGUAAUUUACAUAUCAGGAGGCAACAAUGUCUAAGUCAAUUUUCAAAUCUUUAUGUAGGUACUCUAAAGGGCGGCAGAGCUGACUGGCUUGUAGAGAAAUGCACAGUAAUAAGUCUUAAUUCUUUCUUGUAUAUUCAUGGUUCUGUUAAUGAAGCGGCUUGAACGAGUUUAUCAUCUAAAACGAUCCGCUUCUACCUUGUUUUUAGGAGCUUGGAGCUCAUAGUGUGACCCCUCUGCUGACAGACCGUUCUCCAUCAAUCUCAGAAAAUCGAGUUGACCGGUUGCAGCGUGUUGUUCUAGCAGCAACCAAACAAUGUAAUUUCUACAUUUUUUAGUGACCCUUCAUAUGCACUCCUGAUCGCUUCUAAAUUCUAUUGUUAUUAGAUUUCGUGAUUUAAUUGGUUCCAUGUCUGUGUUCUUUCUUUCUUUUGCUUUUACAGGUCAGAGACUGCAUGGGAUGAUUCUGAAUCCUCCUUUAACCAUUGAUGAGCUGUUACCUCUUGUGAGUUAUUCUUCCUUGAAUGAAGUGGAACUGAGUCUUUUCUUUUCCUUUUUGUUUGUAUUUAUUUGAUCUGCGUGUCGAUACUUCAUGGAAACGAGCGGAUUGGAGAGUAAUGUUUGAGAGACAUGAUUCUGAUUCAUUGUUUUCGUUCGUACAUUCUUACAAAUGUAACACAUGUUGUUUUCUUUUCUUGUGGUUCAAGGUUUCCCAGUCGAAACUAUCUUUUUUGGCAACGGCAGAAGCUCCCCCUCUAGUUAGUGCAAUAGCUUCAUUGAGGAACGAACGGAGUGGAUUGAUGAUCGUUGGACCAGAAGGAGGUUAGUGCCAACUCCUAUUCCUUUAGCUACGUAAACUAGUUGUCCGACUUUUUCAUAUGCAGCAGAAUCAUUUGAGCUUUUAUUCUGCAGAGUUGACGUUAUAAACACUUAACCAAGUUAACUUCACAUUGACACUUUUGCAUUGAAAUGCAGAUUUCACAGAGGAAGAGUUGAAUAAGCUUAUAACAGCAGGUGUGGUGAGUGUUGGUCUCGGGCCACUUCGGCUGCGUGUUGAAACUGCUACAAUAGCACUUUUGUCCACACUUAUGCUAUGGUCCGACUCUCACCAACUUAACAAUUCAUAAUGUCUUGCACUCCUUAUGUUACGGUUGGCCGAUGCAGCGGACGUUGUUGCACAGAAACUCGUUACACGAUGAAUGCGAGCCUGUAAAUGUUUGGAGGCGAGGUCAAGGAGGCGGCAAAAAUGCCCAUCUGACUUAGGCAAUGUGACAUAUAGAUUAUACCUUGGCUUGAAUUUGUCAGUUCUGUUGCUAUGAUUUUGAUGUAUGUUGCAUCAUUCUUCUAUCUAUUUAAUGUUACUUCAACCUUUUUUUUCCAAAAAAAGUUGAUUGUAUUCGUUGGUAUUAUAAAAGGCUUGAAAUACUAUUACAAUUGAGUCAAUUAUGAGGAAGUGAGUCCAUUUGGACACUCUUAGUCACAUAAUAUUCAGGUGAAGUAAUAAAACAUUAUUUAACGGUUUUAAUUUUUGUUGUUAUCGUGGAUGUAUAUGUUUUUGAUUAUAAAUAUCUUAGUUGGAUUUUUAACUGUUUUUCACUAUAUGUAAUCGUAGAAAGUUAAUUUAAAAAUUUUCAACACUAAUAUAACACUAAAUAAAAUCAAUUUUUAACUUCAUUUUAUCAUUAUUUAAAGGGAUUAUCAUAUUAAAACUUAAUUUUUUAAACAUUUUAAACAUGUAUAUAUAAUAUUAGUUGAUUUGAAAAUUUUGAAAUUUUUAUGUCAAAAUGAUUCAUUUCCAUAGAUUGUUAUCUUUCGAAAUAAAACAUUUUAACAUUAAAAUUAAUUUGUUUUCAAAUUGUCUAAUAUUUGACAUGUAUAUUGAGAAUGAUUAAAAAUUGAUGUUUCAUCAUAUUAAAUUCUUCCAACAAUAGUUAAAUGAAGUUAAAAAAUAUUUUUAAUGAUUUUAAUUAUUGUUAUUAAUGAAAAUGUAUAUAUUUUCAAUUAUAAAAAUUUCAAUUUAAAAUUUUAACUGUUUUCAAACUUUAUUAACCAAUUAUCCAGCUAUUAUGUCGAAGAAUCCAUCGCAGAAGAUCAACGAUUUUGUCCGAAUCAGAAAGCCACUCUCGGAUUUGGGCCUGCAGAGUAUCCGGCCGACUCAAAACCCGGAUUGGCGUCCAUUGACCAUUUGUGACGCCAGUUUUCUUAACGUGUCCUCCUCCCUAGUUACGGUCUCCUCUCUCUCAUCAUCAUCGUUCAUUCCCACCCCCUUCUCCUCCGAUUGUCCCUAAUUCCUUCUUCUUUACCCUAACCCCUGAUUGAAUUCCAUAUUCCGUCUGCUUUAGAUUCUGCCGCUUCUCAAUUCCAGCCAGGACUUCUGAUCGGGAAAUUCACUGCUAUCGGUUUGCUGUAAGAAAUUCUAUACCCUCGGGGUUUUGGACACCGUUCGAGAUUCCUGAUCUCCAUUGGAAGCCGGUGGUUUCCUUAUCGUUGCAAAAACACAAUCCAUACGGCUUAAUCAAAACUAAUUUGUUCUCACCGAGGCCAUUUAAUUUUCGGUGAUUCUGUAAGUUUAUCAUUUGGUGAUUAAGAAACAAGGAUAUCAAUGCUCAGUACUUCUCUUCUUUCCAUUCAUCGUUCAUGGAUCAUUAAUGCUGUGAAUUUUGUUUACCUUCAUUGCAAGAUUCGUGUGCUUGGCUUUUCUUGUUGGUCAUGAGUGUUGAGUUUUUUUAUUUAUUUGAUAAAGAAUGUAAGGUGUAUGGAAAAUAUGUGCAACUCUUACCUGACAAGCAGUCUGUUACGUUUCUAAAUUAUUGGUUUUCAUAGCUGCAUUUGUUCUCCUCUCAAGGAAUUUUUCCUGAAAUCGACAUACGGUUUGCUCUAUACACUAGGAACCAACAUCAAUGGAGUGCUCAUCUUCUUAAGCAUGCUUAACCAUUUUUGUCUUUCUUCGUUCUCCUUAUCCAAUUUUGCAGUUCCUAGACCACUUCACUGCUUUCUGGAAUAUAUUAUUGCAUGGGUAUGGAUAUAUGUUGAUGACUAGUAAUUCAACUACGAUAAUUCAAACGUAUGUUUGUGAUGCAGCUGUAUUUGGCUAUUAGUUUGUGCGUGUAUGUGUGGACCAUAUGCAUUUUCUUUGGAUUUUCUCUUUUAAUCACUGGUGCCGAUCAUACUUUUGCGAUUUGCAGUUGAAUUUUUCACUGUAUCUUACAAUCUACUUGUUCUUUAGGUGUUUAUUUUUUGCUUUGAAAGAUGUCACAGUAUCCAGGGGAAGAGGUUGAUUACGUGGUAGAUGAUUAUGAGAUGCCAGAAGCAGAUGAUGAUUUGUACUUUCGUGGGGGAUUAGUGGUCUACUCUGACUCUGAUGGUGAUGAGGACGAAUACGAUAAUUUGGUGUGUGCAUUUCCCAACCAUCAUUUGAGCUUUUCUUCUUUUUGAUGUUAUCGUUCCGUUUCUUUGUACUAGUUGACUAACCAUUAUUUGUUGGUACCCUUUGCACCCUCCUUUUCGUGGGUGAUUUAUGGUUGGUCCUUGAUUGUGCAGGACAACAAGUUACCUGACAUGCUUGCUGCUGAUGCUAGACGUGGAAAGGAUAUACAAGGGAUUCCAUGGGACAGUCUGAGCAUUUCUCGUGAGAAGUACAGACAAACUAGGUUAGAGCAGUACAAAAAUUAUGAAAACAUACCUCAUUCUGGAGAAGGUUCUGAAAAGGUAGACUGUGAGCUUGAACAUUAAAUAACAAUUGUUCUCUUUGAUUCCCUGCUUCUUAUUGUCUUUUGUUGUUCUCCAGGAAUGCAAUGCGACAAAGAAAGGGGGUAUGUAUUAUGAUUUCUGCCGCAAUACAAGAUCAGUGAAGUCAACAAUCCUUCAUUUCCAGGUAGGUUCUUAUUGCAAGUGGACCGUCUCUAAUCGUCUCAAUAUAUUACAGGACAUCAACUGUUAGUUCUUCACUGAAUGGAAAGAGGAGGACGAGCUACAAUAGAAAUGUUGAACAACUGUUUCCUUUAAAAUUUAUGGUCAGAUUAUAGGAUGCUGAGACAGCCUUUAAAGAAACUAUCUUGAGUAAUCUCUUUUGGUAUAUUGUUAUUCAUAUGAAGCUGCGGAACUUGGUAUGGUCGACGUCAAAGCAUGAUGUGUAUCUCAUGUCACAUUAUUCCAUUAUUCACUGGUCCCCAUUGUCCUGCAAGAAGACUGAAGUUCUUAAUGUCUCUGGCCAUGUUGCACCGCAAGAGGUACAUUCAUUUGGUUUAGUUCUUUGAUGCAUCACAUAUAAAAUCGAUUCUGUAUGUCCUCGUAGGAAAUUAUGUGGUUGAUACAUCCUUGGAUGUUUGUUCUGGACUUUCUUCCUCUGUGCAGAAACAUCCCGGGAGUCUCCUGGAAGGAUUUACCCAAACCCAAGUCAGUACACUGGCAGUACGUGAUAAUUUGGUGAUUGCUGGGGGGUUCCAAGGAGAACUCAUUUGCAAAGUGAGUUCUUUAGGAGUUCGUGCUACUUCUUGUUACAUAUAAUUUAAGGUCGAUGUUUUGUUCAUAUCUACAAAGUUGCACUAUAACUGCUGACAAACUAAGCUUUGGUAUCGUGUUUGUCUACAGUAUCUAGAUCGGCCUGGAGUUAGUUACUGCUCAAGGACAACUUAUGAUGAAAAUGCUAUAACCAAUGCUGUUGAGAUUUAUGAAUGUCGCAGGUUCUCUUACUUCCAUUUCUUUUAAAGGACAAGUGGUACAUUUUAAUUUUUAACUAGGACUGACCCUUUAUUAUAUAAUUUUAGUUUCUCCUUCGUCAAAAUAAUCUUCCAAAAAUUGUUGCAGCGGAUCAGUUCACUUUAUGGCUUCUAACAAUGACUGUGGAGUUAGAGAUUUUGACAUGGAGAGAUUUCAACCUUCCACAAAUUUCAGCUUUCCGUGGCCUGUCAAUGUAUGUAACCCCACGAUGACUUUGUAAACCUAGCUUUAUCAGCAUCUCUUUUAUAAUAUUAUACUUGAAGGUUCAAAUAAAUGUGAUGCCAUUAUAGUGUCUGUUUCAUCAUGUGAUGGGCACUUGUUUUUAUCACUCAUUUGUCACCUUUGAUUAACUUGUGUUCUCUGUUAAUUGUAUACAGCAUACAUCCCUUUGUCCAGAUGGCAAAAUCCUUGCUAUUGUUGGAGAUAACCCAGAGGGGAUACUGGUGGAUUCUCAAACUGGAAAGGUAAUCCCUUGGUUCUCCCUCUCAACUUUGCAUGUGAAAUGAUAUUCUCGUUUUCACAUAUGCUAAUUGGCAGACUAUUUUAUUUUGGGUGUAGACAAUUGCGACUUUACGUGGGCACUUGGAUUUCUCAUUUGCAUCUGCAUGGCAUCCGAAUGGUUAUAUAUUCGCGACGGGGAACCAGGACAAGACUUGCCGUGUGUGGGAUGCUAGGAAUCUAUCAAGAUCGGUAGCGGUAUUGAAGGGGAACUUGGGGGCUAUAAGAUCAAUAAGGUUCACGUCGGAUGGACAGUUCAUGGCAAUGGCAGAGCCAGCAGACUUUGUGCAUGUGUAUGAUGCGAAGAAUGGGUUUGAGAAGGAGCAGGAGAUUGAUUUCUUCGGGGAGAUAUCGGGUGUGUCGUUCAGCCCAGAUACAGAGUCGCUGUUUAUUGGGGUGUGGGAUAGAACAUAUGGAAGCCUGCUUCAGUAUAACAGACGCAGGAGCUAUGGUUACUUGGAUACCUUACUGUGACUGGAUGCAUAAACAGGGAAAAUAGGAAGGUGUGAUAUUUGAGGAGGUAAUAUAGGAUGAGAAUGGAUCAACAUUCUUGUACAUUAGCAAAAGAUCCUAUCUGACUCUUCUUUUUUUUGCCGUUCCGGUAUCGUCUUUUCUGGUCUUUCUUGUGUUUUUUACUGGUCGGUUUGUGACAGCAGUCUUGCACCAUCUAUAGAAAGAAGAGACGAAGGGAAGCAAACUGUCAAAUUAGUACACUGAUGUUGUAAUCACUGGUUACUCUUUACUCAUGCUGCUGUUUUGGUGGUUUCCAAGUGCAAUAAGUUGUUUGAAUUGUGUCUAGUAAUAUCUACGGGUUGUGGGAGAUUUCGAUAGAUUUGGAUGGGUGAUUUGGAGUAAGCGGCCUUGUAUUGUGGUGGCAGCCCUCUACUCUGGUGGGUAGUCCGGUAUAUGGGGGCGAAGUCAUCAUGAUUCUAGGCCGGCUGAGUUUGGGAGUCGAACUAGUGCUGCUGCAAUGACGACCCUACUCCAGGAUCACGGUAGUAGUUGGGUGUGUUCAGAACACCCCGCAUCGGGUCGCCGGCAUGCAUACUUUUUUUUGAGGAAAAACUACCAGUGGGGUUACAGCCCUAUGACCGGGAUGCAAAAGCACACCGUACUCGUUCGUCCCUUGAUAUGGGAUCUAUACAAGUUAAGACAAUUUCACUAGGACAUGUGUGCCCUCAUCGAAUAUCAUUUAGCACUCGGGCAACUAGAUGUCGCGGUGCUUGUCGGUGCUUGUUGUGAAUCUAAAUAUGCCAUUGAAGUGAACGUUAAGAAGUUACGGUUUAGAGUUACAAUUUUUUACAAAAGUGUUAGAUAUUAGUGAGACAAUUACUCACCUCGACAGAGUAAAGGAACUGCCCAUUGGAUAUAUUAUAACAGCUAAUACCGGCUAUAUCGUAACAACAAGAUUUUUGAGAUUCUAGGCUUGUGCUGCCUUUAUGGUCCUCUAAAUCUGUUAUCGCGUAUUAAAUUGUGUCCACUAAUAUCAAAAUCCCAAACUCAACCACAUCCAAUCAUAAGCUGACAUGUCAACCGGAAACAGAAAAAAACGGAAUAUGGUUUUGUAAAGUCCUAAAUCUUCUGCGGCGUUAAAUCCGGAGAGGAAUUAGACGGCGUUAGAUCCGGAGAGGGAACUGACACUUAUUUGUUCGGUAUAACAAACGUAGAAGCAAAAUUGAAAAGAAGCUGCCACCCUUGAAAUCAUAAUCAACGAGAAGAAAAGGAAUAUCCUGGAAACUUAAAUAUUAAAUAUAAUAAAUUACUUUAAACUACUCUAUCUCGCAGUUGACAACAAUUCAAAGACCUGGUCUUCACUGCCUUUCUGCUUUCCCCACCGUUCUCCAUCGCCCGUUCAUUAUCCGGUCUCUUUCUCGAAACUUAACAGCUCACUGAUCGGAAAAUUCAAAUUCAGAUCGCUAACGGGAGAGAAGAAUCAUGAGCUAUUACAACCAGCAGCAGCCACCAGUUGGUGUUCCUCCUCCACAAGGUCGGUUCAUCGGUUUCUCUGCUCUCCUUUCUUCCUUCUGAUCGAUUUCAUCUGUGAUUUUGUCCAUUUCUUUUCCGAAUAAGGAUCCGUUAGAUCUGAUGGCUUUCAGUUAUUUUUUUACUACGACGAUGAGAUGAAAUAGGUUAUCCGCCGGAAGGAUACCCUAAAGAUGCGUACCCGCCGCCGGGAUACCCGCAGCAGGGUUAUCCACCUCAGCAAGGUUACCCAGCUCCUCCUCCGCCUUAUGCGCCUCAGUACGCGCAGCCACCGCCUUAUCAGCAACAACAACAACAGAGCAGCAACGCUGGUUGUUUAGAAGGCUGGUACGUUUUGUUUGAUGAUUUCCUCUCUUCCCUGCACCUGUUUGGAUGAUCAGAAUUAGAAUAUAGAUAACAUCAAUUUUGGGUAAUUGGAUCGAGUCUAGUGUACAAGUCAUAUCUUUGGUCAGCCGUUGACAGAGCGAGUAGGAUGUCAGUCAACGCGGGGCUUCGCCGCCGGCUAGGUAGUGAGGAGUUCAGGGUUUGCGUAUUUGGCCGGUUGCCUUAAAUUCGCUGUUAUCAAAAGGUUCGGCCCUCUGGUUUGCAGCUGCGUGGGCUCCAUCCACCUCCUCUCAACGAUGCCAUACCAAACAGUAUCAGAAAGAAGAGGAGGAGCUGCAUAAUGUUGGUAAAUAAUAUAAACCAAUCUUGGACUUUCUCCCACAACUCGAGUUAUUGGGAUGCAAUGGUUCAUGACAUGGUAUUAAAGCCUUAAAAGAUAGAUAUGUCUCCGUUUUGAAUCCUGAUAGCCCUCAAUUCCUCGAGUAAUUGAAACGUUGUAAACCUCUACCAAUCUUGAACCCUCCCCCAACAGUUGAUCACACAUAAUCCUUUUUCACCGGACCCAUAGACUUUCAUUAAUUCUAUGUAGAUAAGUUCAAAAUCUUUCUCCAGUUGGCUGAUUAAGAUGUAAUUAUAUUUGCCAAACCUGUUGGAGUGGACGUCUCCUCCCUUGAGUGGAUUCCAUCAUCUUUUGGAGCUUGUCUUCCCUUGAUUGAAUUACAAGGAAAUCAACAUUUCCCCAUCCGUUUAUUGGCUUUCAAUUUCCCAACGAGCAGAACUGCCGACCUACAUUACAUAUAUGGUUCUUCUAUAAAUUGUAUCUUGCUCUUGCCCACUUUCUCAAUACUUAAUUUGACCAGGAUUCUUAACUAUGACUCUUCAGUUUGGCUUUUAUGGAUAUCUAUGAAGCGUGUAAGUGUAACUAAAUGUUAUAAACUGUUGUAUUCCAAAACCACAAAUUCGAGUUGUUGGAAGAGGAUUCAAAUUGACUUUUAUAUUAUUCAUUAACAUGCCCCGCUCAAUAAAUCAUGUGCAUGGGUUAAGGGUUAUGAUGCUAUGCAUUAACUGUUGCAUCCAAAUAACUGAAGCUGUUUGAAAAAGGGUUCUGAUUAACUUUUAUAUCAUUCAUCAACACUAAAAACUUGUCAUUUUUUAGUAUAGUUUGGGGAUAGCCUAUUUCCAACUAAUUUUGGUUUGAAUUUGUUAUUCAGUUUGGCCGCGCUGUGCUGUUGCUGCCUACUGGACGCGUGCUUUUGAGUGAAGACAUCAGACGUGCUGGAACCGCCGAUUGGGGUCCUACUGUCGAAAUGGCAUCGACUCAUGUCUUAAAAAUUUGAUUGAACAUUGAGUGGAUUUAUUGUAUGACCUCGUAUAAUGUCUUUUGUGGUCUUUGAAUUUGAUCAUUUACGUUAUUCAACACUUCAAAGCUAUGAGCCUAUAACGUUGCCAUGUUAUGCGUGAGAUUCUGUGUUUUGAUCAUCAUGUGGUGUUUCUUAUGUAAUGUUGAUCCUUGCAAGUGAUAAAUUUUCAACUUCUCUGAGGUUUAUCCGAGCAGUCUAACAGGAGUUAUAUUGAAGGGGUGGGUUGAGUUUGACUACUUUUAAUUCCCUUUUACACCAAAAAGAAUAUCAUCACCUGUUCGGACCAACGUGCUUCACGGUUCACAAAUUGAGCCGAGUCAAAUUUCAUGCUCAAAUUUGGUUUGUUAAUUUUUAUCUGGAUUCGAGGUUGAAUUCAAGCUAUAAAAUUUUGGUGUGUCAAGCUUGAGCGUAUUUGAAAAUAAGAUAAUAUGUGAAAAUAAGACCAACAGGCGUUUCAUGGACUAAAAAAACGUACUCAUGUUUACGGUUAUAUGACUUUGUAGUAAAAUACUGAAAUAUGCACUGACAAAGGCACAAAGUACUACUGCAAAUAUAUUAAACUGUCCCACAACAUUUUUAUUUAUUUGUUUUCCUUCAUUAAAAAAAAAAGAUAAUUAUCCUCUCCAAUGCAGCUGUGUGUCCAGAACACUAAUGCUUGGAGCAAUCCGAGGGAGGAAGGAGACGGUCCUUUUCCCAAGGUCAUACCCAACAACAAAAUUCAUCUGAGCCAAAUUCCCAUAUAUCCCCACAUCUUUCGUCGGCAGCAUCGUAAAGCACACCAAUCCCUCCUCCGCCGCCACAAACGUGUUCACCGGCUUCAACUCCACCUCCGCCCCUCCCCGGAAAUGCACCUUCAUCGCCGGCAACCCAACCUCCUCCUUCUCCUUCUUCUUAAAGCAAAGACUGAACAUAUCCUUCACGUCGUUAGCCCUCUCCAUCUUUAUCUCCUCCACCAAAGCUGCCUCCAACGAGCUGUAGAAUUCCGCUUCCAAGAACGUCAGCGUCGUCCCUGAGUCUAUUAUUAUGUUCCCUUCCUCCACCCCCACCGCCGAUGCAUCCAACGACGUCGGUUUCGAGUAAAGCAGCUUCUUUCUCCCUACAGUGAUUGCCUCCAGGGUUAAAUAGUAAUAAGUCGAAGGAUCCUUCUUCACUAAAGGAGUCGUAGAAACGACGCCGUUUGAUGGAGCUGAAAAGACCGGAUUGUCCCCAAACACAAUCCUGCUUGUAGCCGAAUCUGACGGUUGGGAUUGUGCCGAUAUUUCGGCCUCGAGUGGGAGGAGGCAGUAGGAGAACUUCUUCCUAAUCCUGCCCCCUAACUGAGAGACGAAAGAGAGGUCCCCACCUCCCAGUCCGACAAUCCCGGAGCCUAGGUCGUCAAAGUUGCCGCCGUUUCUAGUCCCGCAGCCAAACGCGACGUUCGGAAUGGACGCCGACGAGACGGUGAAGGUGUCCGCGGCGAGGUAUCCGGUGGUGUAGGAGUGGUCGCCGUAGGAGUAGGUGUAGCCGCAGGUGGUUUGGUCGUCGGUGCAGGAGCGGGCGGACUCGUCUAACGAGUUGCAUGGCGGGGUCAUGCAUGGGAGCUUGCGGAACGUGGUGGAAUUCGAAGGGUCGAAGAUGGGGCCCUUUUGUGGGUAGCAUUGGUCGCAUGGCUUGGACUGUAGCCAGGUGAGGUCGCUUCCCGUGUCGGCUAUGACUAGGAUCGGGAAAGGUGGGGUCCCAAUUGAUAGGUUCAUCAUGUACUCUCCUCCGCUUGGGACUAGGUCGGUUUGGAAGUCAACGUGGUCCAGUGCUCGGUGGCGGGAGAUGGAGCGGAGGAAGGAGGCGUGGAGGCGGUCGGAGAAGGUGGUGUUUGGGGUGUGGAGUGGGGAGAGUGGGGAGUCACGGUGGAUGAGGUCUACGGUGAUCGUCGUGGUCGUCGUGGAAGUAGCAAUGUGUGGGAGGAGAAGAAUGAGUAGUGAGAGUAGUAGUAGUGUGAAAUGAGGAGCUGCCAUUUUUUGAUUUCUUUUGUUUGUUUGUAAUCUGUUUGCUUUUGGUAGGCUUGGGGAGGUGGUGAUGAUUUUGGAGGUGGAGGGGGUUUGUUUUUAUGGAGAUGGAGAUUAACGUAUAACAAGUUCUUAUAAUUACUGAGAACUAUUGAUGGGAGAAGUGAUGAGACUGUAUGGAAUUUGAGGGGUGUGUUUCGGAUAUGAUGGUGAGACGAAGAGGCGAUCGAGCCAUUUAAUUGUUUCGGUUAGGAUAAGUAUUAGUAAUUGAUAUUCAUAAAUUGAUCCAAACCUAACAAACACAUGCAUUACUACUACAACUGUUCAGUGUCCAUUUUCUUUCAACUUUCACUCCUAGUCAGUCAUAGUUAUAAAUAUCUUACCCAAGUUGUAACUGAAAUUGGGGAAAAGAACCAAUCACUAGCGCCUGAAUGAAUGGAGAUUGCUAUUAAAAUAUCACCAAAUCGGAUUUCGGUUAAACUCCAAGUUCAACUCAUACCAUAUAGUGAACUUUUUGCCAAGUUGCAGUGCACAUGCGACGUAAGUAUCCUUAUAUAUUUCCUACAAUUGACAAUCAAGAUACAUCAGCAAGACAAUUAUCAUAGUAGGAAUGACUAAUCGAUUGAGUGAGAUCAUCCUCAGACACAGGAUGAAAUACCGUUGGAGAGGCUUGGAGCUAACUCUAGUUUGUUAUUAAAUAUGUCUGAGAAGAUUCUCCUUGUUGUCACAGUCCUACUGUUCAAGGAGUGCGUCGUUUAGAGUUCAAAGAUGGAAGUUACAGUUAGAUUACCAUUUUGUAGUUCAACUGUUCUUGCAUAGAUUUUUCUGCUUCAGGAAUCGUCAUUAUGAUAGUCUGCAGCUUCGUGUCAAUCUUUUCAAGUUUCUCCAGGAGUCUGUCAUUUGUAACAUCCCAAGGAACACAUUUGGGAUGGUAUCCUAACUUUCGAUCAACGGGAGUGCGAUAAUCACUGCCGAUCAAAUGGUGCCCCAUGCUAUGGCUAUCACAGCCCAGAAAGUGAAGUACCCCAAGUUGAACUCCUCUGCAUUUUCAACACAACAAAAAAUGCCACUUCUUGUUAGUUCAUUUCAAUGACCACGCACAAUAUUGGAACUAAGAUGGUCGAGCAAGAUUUCAAGUUUACAAUGAGUUUGAAAGCCACACCAGGCGAAAACUUCGAUUUUGAACACUUUGAAACCGAGAGACCCUAGGUGGUGGCCUAAGUUUGCUCACCCCUGGUUCUGGCAUCCACUAGACAAGCAAGUGAAGAAAGACAUGCAUAAACAAACUUAGUGGCUGGAAGGCCGAAAAGAGGCCACAAUACAACGAUGACAAGAGUGAAAGCAAUCCCCCACUUGACAAUCCAAGCUUUGGCCUUCUUUAGCUUCUCUUCUUUGAACUCUUCAGCCCGAAGAUCUGAAAUCUGAAAUCUUCUGUGUCAUAGUUGCCAUACAAUCUAAAGUUGAGCUCACUUGGGAGGAUAGAGGUGUCAAAGCUAAGACAACAAAAGGAUGCCCACGUCGAAAAGUACCUCCAUCGUCUAGAAAAGAGUCUGGUAACAGUGGCUUCCUUAAUCGUCAUGGAAGACAAUAUAAGGUGGAGGACAUCAUCAGGCAGCAUACUGAUUCGAUCAUCUGCAUUAUAGCAAGGUAUUCUACUGCCCCUCUUUUCAACACCUAAAACAAGAACAAACAUACAAUUCAUCAAGUCCGUGGAAGGCUCAAUAUGUGCAUAGCACAGCAAGGAAACAAAACAAGAAAGCAGCAGCAGUUGGACAGGACACAUAGAUGAAUAGAUUAAGACUAACAUGUUGAUAGUAAUUAAGAAAUCUAGAGAGUCGAUUGCACUAAGCUGAAUGUUACAGUAAACAACAAGACAAAUGGAAGAAAAAAUGGAGAUGUUAAUGAAACUGACCAUAGACUUGAUUAGACCGGGGUGUUGCCAUGAGGAACCAGACCUGCGAAGCUUUCUCCUUCCCGUCAUUGAUAUUGGAUUCGGAAGGCAAAAACAAUAAUACAUUUCCCCUUUGCCAGCGAUAGAAAGCGGAUCAAAAGAUACAAACUUGGAGGCUUUCUCUUCAUAAACAGGGGAAGAGGAAGACUGAAGAGGAAGAGGAAGAAGUGAGUUGAAGAACUCCAAAGUAAUAAAAACAGGAGCUACAGACAGGAACUGAAGAGCAGAGCUUCCGCGGAAACACCCACCGCCAACUCUGGGAGAAGAGAUAUGCGAUUGAUUGAUGAAUGAAAUUUCAGAUACAAAAUCAAAAGCUUGACAGAAACUCGGACAAGGUAAAGGAAUUACUUUGGGUCCUCAAUCCCAACUUGACUCCGAUUUACGACUCCAGCCCAUCCAUUCUUCUCUUCCGUCCGUUCUAUGUAAUGUAACCAGUUUUUACUUCUCUCCCGCGGGUUUGAAAAUUCAAACUACGCGUAAUGCAACAUUAUCAAACUCCGUCUUGGCGUCUUCUUAUCUUACCUUCACCGCUCUCUUCCUGCUAAUUCCGGGGUUUGGAGAAGAAGUUGCUUGCUGCCAACAUAUAUAUCUAGCUUGACAAUAACUGUGCUGAGAUUCUUGAGCUCAAACCUGUAUUGGGAGAUCAUGAAUCAUGAUGAUCAUGUUCCUGUCAUCAACAUUAUGAAUUUAUGAUUGCUAGCUCAUCUGUGUAAAGGUUUCAUUCAUUCUUUCAUUCUUGUCACCAGUUUAUAUGUAUCUGGUAAUCUCUAAGUUAGUGAAUUGGGAGAUUACGUAGCAUAAUGGCAUUUGGUAUGAACUUUACGAUGAAUGAAAUUGAAACACCACAUUGCUAGAAAACUAAACAUAUAUUCUGUUUAUAUUUGGAUACAGUCUCAACGUUUGCACUUUGACAACUCUCAAUUGGCCCACAACACGUUGAUGGUUGGGCUUGUGCUUGUUCAAGAACCCUAACCCGCCGCCUACAAAAACCCUAGCACAUCUCAUUAAGAGGAAAAAUAAAACUUAUUUCGUCGGUUUCGAAUAGUAAUGACUUAAGUUAUUCGCAAAUUUUUAAUAUAAUUUAAGGAAUAAGUCAAAAAUUGAAUUUUAAUAGUUUAGGUGUAGGAUCUAGUGUGUUCACAUGGAUAUUUGAAAAUUAGAAAUAGUGGAAAAAGAAUUGAGAAUUAAAAUGGGUCGUUUUGGAACUAUUGUACUAUUUUUCUUGCCUAACAAUCCAGUCCACCAAUCUGAGGUGUUCGUACAAACUACAAAAUUAGUAGUUUUAGUACAAGUAUUAAUCAAGAUUGGUACAAGUACAAUGCACAAAGCUGUUCUAUGGGCCUGUCGCUAUCGCCGUGUUGCCCAAGAAAUACAAACUAAAUGCGUACCCAAAAUUAAAUUAAUAAAUGGAAAGGAAAAGUCGGGUCUAGAUCAACGAAUCAGAUCUUGCCACCAGUCAGAAGAAGAAGAAGAAAUCGUUUUCCCUACGACCUCCCUUAAUAAAACACAUUCCGGAACAAUCCGCCAAAGGAUCCGGGAAACCCGACCCGAGACCUACCUAACUCUCUGUAGUAUAUAAGCCAAAUUCUCUCUUAAACCCCAGUUUCUCUCCAUAGCGAAAACUAAAACCCCCAGACAAAAAGAAGCAGAAAAGAAAACUGUUUUUCAAGACUUGUUCAACAACCAUCUUUAAAUGAUGAUGGCGUCCAAGGGUCGGAGUGCUGCGAGGCUGGCCGUGGCGGUGCUGACGCUACGCAAUUUCUCGACAGCAAGGGCCGGAGUUGUUUCUCGGCAGGCCGUCGGAAUCUCAAGAAGCAGCGGAGUCCAGGCUCCGGCGGCGGCGGCGGCGUCUGAGUGGUGGAUUCGAGGUCCAGCUGGGCGGGUCGGGGUUGACCGUACGUUUGCGACGUUGACUCUCGGGGAGCAGGAACAGCAGGACGAGAAGAAAGAGCAGCAGCAGCAAGAGGCAGGAACUGGAGGCGGCGGAGGGAUGAACGGAAAAGGGAACGGAGAGGAAGAGAAGGGAAUUGUGAGUUACUGGGAGAUACCGACGAGGAAGAUUGUGAAGGCUGAUGGAUCGGAUUGGAAGUGGAAUUCUUUCAUGGUAAGGACUGUAUGGUUAAUUGAAAUUUGAUUAAGAGCUUGGAUGGAUUCUUGAUUUUUGAUUCUUUAUUGUUGGUGUUGGUAUUGACGUGUGAUUAGCCAUGGGAGACGUACAAGGCGGAUACAUCAAUUGAUCUGAAGAAGCAUCAUAAGCCAUCAACGUUGCUCGACAAAUUCGCAUUCUGGUCUGUCAAAUCCCUCCGCUGGCCAACCGACUUGUUCUUUCAGGUUACUCCCUUCUUUCGCUCUUGUUUAGUGUAUAAUCUAAGUGGAAAUGUGGUAUUUAAUUUGUCUUGAUCUGGAGACGGUUUUUGGUUUGAUUAAUAAGGGGAAAAGAAGAAUAAUUAACAGUGAUUUUGGAAUGUGACAGAGGCGAUAUGGGUGCCGAGCAAUGAUGCUGGAGACAGUGGCAGCAGUGCCAGGGAUGGUAGGAGGGAUGUUGCUCCACUGCAAGUCACUUAGGAAGUUUGAGCACAGCGGUGGAUGGAUCCGAGCACUCCUGGAAGAAGCAGAGAACGAGAGGAUGCACCUCAUGACAUUCAUGGAAGUUGCUCAGCCUAAGUGGUACGAGCGUGCUUUGGUCAUGGCAGUUCAGGGCGUCUUCUUCAACGCCUACUUUUUAGGGUACAUCAUCUCCCCCAAAUUUGCACACAGAAUGGUGGGCUACUUGGAAGAGGAGGCCAUCCACUCCUACACCGAGUUCCUCAAGGAGCUUGACAAGGGCAACAUUGAGAAUGUGCCUGCUCCUGCAAUCGCCAUCGACUACUGGAGGCUCCCUGCUGAUGCUACAUUAAGAGAUGUUGUCGUGGUUGUCAGAGCUGAUGAGGCUCAUCAUCGCGAUGUCAAUCACCUUGCUUCUGUGAGUAUACACCACUUAACUACUGUGAUUAUUAUGCAAUUGUUUUUGGUUUAUGAGAUUGUCACUUAGACUCGUUGAUGUGUUUUUUUGGCAGGACAUACACUACCAGGGACAGGAACUCAAGGAAACUCCAGCACCGAUUGGGUACCACUGAAUAUAGCUUGCUGAUGUUUGAUGGGAAGGAGGGAUUUGUCAACUGAUAUUUGAUUAAGUACGAGUUUGGAUAUUGUUGAGUGUAAAAUGCUUCAUAGUAUUUCUCUACGUUACUAUUUCCUACAUCCUAGAAUUUUAUGUCUAAUGACACUGUGAUGGAUCUUGUCCUACUACUACCUUCUGUAAAUAGAAAAAAUAACAACAUUUGUUCAUUGUUUUUAUAUAAACUUGUAUGUAGUAUCACUGUUUUCCCCCCAAAAAAUCAAGUUAGUAACUGGAAGGUAACUUUUAUUUAGUUGAACAGGUCACAUGGUGAUUAUCUGAGAGUAAUGAUGUGUAACAGACAACCGACCUUAUUGAUAUUCAUCAUCAGACCCACAAGACUUGAUUACAUAGUUGAUACCAUGAAACGAAGCCAGCUGAAUCUAAGAGGCAGUUACUCUUGCUACCUGGUAUCGAUGAGAGACCGUAAGAGGCGAUUCUUUCGACACCGGGCUAUCCGCUGACCAUAGCUCCAGAUUAACGGUUCCAGUUCCCCAAUGAAUGUAACACUUGUAUACCUCAUUCACAUUGAAUCGGUUAACCAGCCCCAAACCUGAACAUCUGUCCACCAGCAUCCAUUCUCCUGGGAAAAACCGGAACAGCUACUCGUUAUAACUUCUUUCUGAUGGAUCGUUAGUGUUGUUCAAUCUACCCAUUCAAAAGGGCAAAUGCAUGAGCAGAAAUUACCGUUAGGACGAUGAUCCCCUUGAUAGGUCUGGUCGUUGGCGUCUGGCCAAAUCUCAUGCUUUGAGCCAUCAACAGCGGUGAAGGAGAUGAAUGUUUCAGUUGGGUGCAAUAAGGUAAAAGUCGGGUGCACCCUCAAGCAAACCAGCCUACAAAAUCAAAGCAAAACAUAUAAAAUGACCACUUCGGUCUUGACUGAGUUCAUAAUAUAACACGAUCAUCACGAACAGAAACCAACCCCUAGCGACUAGCAAUUAGUACUGCACAGCAACGUCCAAUUUUUAAGAAACAACCACACAAGACUGUCUGUUUGUCUUCUGCGCCAAAAUCAACCACAAAAUUUGCACCAAUUAAAUUUGAUCAAUCAGUUUCACAUCCGAAGUUAGAAAUGUGAUUCCUCUCGAAACCUUACAAAAGCAAAUCAAGGCAUUAUCUGGAGCUGUAGAACUUUUACAUGGACAGGAUCAGUCGCAAGCAAGAUAGGAAAUGGUUCAUGUCAUGCUGGAAUAGCUAAACAGCGACAUCAAUGAUAUAUUUCUUUAUUGCACUAUCCCAAGAAAUGAGAAAAAAAAGGUUAUUGAGAAGGGCAAUAACAUCUAACCUGGAAAAUCCUCCAGAUCCAGCACCAACGCUGCGGGCCACAAUUGCGGACUCAAUUUGAAGAAUUUCUGGCUUAUCUUUGAGUAUGGACACAUGCCUCUGAAGAACCACUCCUCCGCCAACAUCUCCUUCUAACAUCAGGGAUUCCCCUUCUCCAGCAUGCACAAGAUCACGCCUACAAGAAAGAAAAAUUAGAAUAUUCCAAAUGUUUAGAACUUGAAUGAACACCUAAAUGACUGUUCCACUUCGAAAUAACAAAUCCUUCCGUACUAGGUCUCUAGUGUAAAAGUUCAUAUUCCUAGUCCCGAAAGAAACAGCAGAUAAAGAUAUAUGAACUAUCAGGUAAGCUUCUACGUUUCUCAUAUAAGACAGACAUGGACAGGGAUGAUUGGUGUAUGAGUUGGCAGCCCAGUAUUCAAAUGAAACUUAAAAUUUUCAAUAUUUUCUAUCAACCAAGGAUGAAGUAGCGAGGGAUUCAGUUUAAGUACUCGAUAACACUGUAUGCUUCAGAACAUCCGGCAGAACGAUACUCAGUACCACUGUACUCUUCGUAUCCAUCCAUAUCAAUCCUGCUAUGUAACCACUGUGUACCUGUCAGCAAAGCGGAAGUUAAGAGACAGGCCUUAUACACAUGUCUAACUCAAGCAUUGCCAACUAGAAAAAGGAAAUUAACACUAGGACAAUAAAUGCGAAACUCUAUGGCCGAAUCCAGGGUUACUUUGCACCAACACUACCUCCAGAUCUCUCUUUUAUUUUAUAUCGAAGAAAUUGAUUGAGAGAUACGUGCAUGAUCAUGACAAAGGCUUGGAUAGUUUACAAGCACGUUGCAAUAGAAGUAGACCUACAAAUUACAAUUACAGUCUGCAGAGGUAUACCAGAGAUCAUGAUGCACAAAAAAUGCAAUGUCAUCAUGAUCCUCGUGCCAGGCUUGUGGAUCAGAUGUCCUCGUGAGUUUUUUAAUUACUACCCUAAAGUUGCAGAGUAAGCAACGGAAACAUAAAUAAAAAGCUGUGCACACCAGCAUGAUGGAAGUCAUUUAUUAUGGGAGGGUCGAAGGUUGUAGACAUUACCUGAUGGAAGAUGCUCCAUAGAAAUAAUUCUACCGCCAAUCCAGGGAACUAUUUUAACAGACCAGUCUCCACUUUUCAGUUCAACAGGAGUCUUUGAAAGCUCGGUUCCCUUUGGCCCAGGAUCCUUCCCCACAUCUGGGAUUGCCUUGGCACUUUCUGCAUUUUGGGAACUCUUGUCAUGAGUUUGAAGAUAACAAAACUGAACAACAAGAAGUCAAGCAUGAUACAAUUAUGAGACACAUGGAACAUAAGGGACUCCAUGAUUUAGAAGAUUGAAUCCUUCACAGCAAACUGGUUUUAUGAAUCCUUAACCCUGACAAGAGGAAACAAGAUAAAAGAGCAAAUGUUCCAGCACCCUAAAGAGUUUACUCUUAUGAAACCAAAUGAAUGUGAUGCUCACAGGGUAUAAGUUAAAAAAUCAUACGAGAGAAAGGAAGUAUGCAAGAAGCCAGGACGCGCACCUAGACGAGUCCGGUACCGUUCAUCGCCUGCGGAUACCAACUUUGAGAUAUCAUGCUCACUGGGAAUUGUAAUUUGAACUGCAUCCCCAUCCAUGCCCCAUGCAUCAAGCUGUAAAGAGAACUAAUUUUAUCAAAGAGCCGCAUUAAAAGAAGGCUGUACAGAAGUGCCUGCAAAUUGAUGAAACUCUUUAUCAGAAGAUAUGAAAUAUAAUCCAGAGAAAUACCAUUGCACCUCCACCAACCAACAGAUAUACAUGCAAACGACGACUUGGCCUCUGCCAUAAUCCUUCUGUUUUCGAAACCUUAACCGUAACAACUGAAGAUUUCAGUUCUGCAACAUAAUGUGUCAGCAGAUACUCCCCCUUUGUGAAAUCAUAACUAUCACCAUCAUCUUCAAAUAAUUGGCCUUCUGCUUUCCCUGAAAAUAUGAAGACACUUAUCACUUAUGGGCACAUACCUCUAGCAUCAUUAUAGUAGCCAAAACAAACAUACUUCACAACCACGACCACAAACUACUAAUAUGGCCUUGCUCCAUUGUAUACCAUUUUGCUUAAUUUAUAGCUAAUUAUGUCUGUUUUCUAAAACGAAGAGAUAAGAGGAAGUCCCCGAAACAGGAGAAACAAUGUGUGAACUUUUCCCUUCGAAGAAAACUGGAGAUGUUCCUUCUUCGAAAACAGUAAUCAAAACUGACUAGACAAGUAAUGAUUUAAGAAGGUGAUUAUUGUGUCUUGUAGACAAUAAUGCUCCAUAAAUAGAAAGAAUCAUGACUUACCAUUUUCGUUUAAAGCUACCAGGACGGUCAGGUCAUCUGAUUUAUUAGAUUCACCAACAUGCUGAUAAGGACGACUAGAAGGAAUUAUUGAUCCACCUUGCAAGUAUAAAGUCGGUAAAUCCUGCGAUAUACAGCAUCGUAUAACUGUCAUGCAUAUGCGCCCCAUGGAUAGGUGCAGCAAUAAUAUAAAUUUAUGAACAUGCAUGCAUUCAUGCAGCAUACAAAUACAUGAAUACAUACAAAAAAUGUAUAUCCAUAUAUGUGCAAACUAUAUUUCCACAAUACAUAUCUACCAUAGGAUCCAAAACAGGCUGAGUGAUGACCGUACCGGAUGUGCAUCAUCAAAAUCAAAUCUCAUCCAAACUCCUCCAGGAAGAACAUGCUUCACUUCAUUAGUUGUCUGGUCAGAAGCAGUGCUGAAGAGAAAGCAAAAUUGUAUCAGUAAGUACCAAUAUCAGCAGUUCAAUCCCAGCACUUGGAAAGCAUAUUCCAGAGGUGUCCCUCUCUUAUUUUAUAACUGAUGUUCGCAUCAUACCAUUAACUUUGGUUUUCCAUUUGAAAUUUAAGCACUCAAAAGUCCUUAAAAAUCCAGAUGCCCGUGUUUCUCUGAUGAAGUUGAUAUUACCAAGGGUAAGCAUGUCAUAUUCAGACAAGCAUACUUAAAUAAUCAACAACUUACUAACUGAUUUAUGUUAGGCUCCACGAUAAUUUAUUUUCAUAUUUCAUAUGAAUGUCUUAAAGAAGUGCCUAUAGUUCAAAUUGAAUUACAGUCGGAGACAAGGGCAUCUGGAAACACAACACGCAAGAAUUUCAAAGAUUCGGGACUCGAUUCACACUAUCGACCAAAAAAAAUUAAGAAAUAGAAAGAAGAAAGAAUACUCUGAGACUGCAUAGUACUUUGUAUGAAAGAAAUUAGCACCCAAAAUGCAAUAAAAAGAACCAUAACCUUGAGCAGACAAGAAGUGAACCCAGCAGGAAAGAAUUCUCAAGUUUCCUUAAGCUGGGAUCUUUGGGAUCUACACACAAUAUAUACACACUAAUUAUUAAUUGCAGAAAGUGUAAGAGUUAGGAACUUCAGAACUAGAUAGUGCUACAGUACAAAACCCACCAGCAAAAAGUGUAGGGGUUGCCACAGGACUACCCAUCGUGUGAGACAUAUAGAAGAGAGUAUAUAUGUAUGGUAGAAGUCGGUAACGCCUUCUCAAUGCAAGGCGGCAAACCUCUUCACACUGAUGAUAAUGUAGAUUUGAAUAAAUAACAUACACAACAACCUCAGAAAAGCAGUAACAUGAACCUAUCAAAUAUUCUAUACAGGUAAUGUGUAAAUUCCUGUUUCUGUAGUAUUCUCUUUCCUAAUUAUUACUAAUAAUUGAGAUGUAGCGUCAGGAGAGCCAAACAGAAAAAUAAAGUACUUCAACUAAUAGGGGACGGCUAUUGACCUCUUACAGAAAGUAUGAGUUCACUUAGGAUGAGAUUCCUGAAAUGAUUGGCACCAAGUUCAUAUAGUAAAGGCAACAAACCUCUUCCCCAAAAGACCAUGGCUCAUGGUCAGUUGUGCCCAUUUCUGAAUGUCCACGGCAAAAAGGAAACAACGAACCUAUGCCCAUCCACCUCCCAAAGAGUUUCGGCGUUGCAUUUCCAGCAAACCCACCAAGGUCAGGUCCUGAAAGUGGCUGACCACUGAGCCCCUACACAUUCAGUAGAAUUAAAAGUAAGUGCAGGAGUAGGGAUAAAUCAUGAAAAAUCAUCUUCACUCUAUAAGUCAAGAGCAAGACAAAGAACAUGGUAAAGAAUAUAAAGCCCUUUACUUCAAAGCAACAUAUAAUAUGAAAGCUUUCCAUAGUACCUCUAGAAGAAUGAAGCAAACCAAUUCCCACCGUUUGUGAAGGAACUACCAGAUAUCUAAAAUUACUUACCAAUUGAAGUACCAUUGGGAUAGACAUCUGCAAAUGCUCCCAGUUGGAAAGAUUAUCCCCCGUCCAAGUGGCCGCAUAUCUUUGACUACCGAUAAAUCCAGCUCUGGUAAGAACAAAAGGGCGCUUAUUAUCAUUUGAUAAUUUCAUCCCUUCAAAUGUUGAUCUUGCCAUGAGCAUGCCAUACACCUAAAACAAUAAAAAAUUAUACACUUCUCAGUAUGGAACCCGACAGCCUUUUAUUGCCAAAAGGCAUUUGAACUUACAUAGCAAUACACAGAUAAAUUUUACAAAAACUCAAUAUGGUAACACACAAUGUGGCUGAAGAAAAAUACAUUGUGAUAUUGCAAGUGAUUCUGGCAACCUCCAAGUUCAUCAUCUCCUCUAUGGAUGUUGCUUUCGGGCAUUGUCUUUGUUACAGUCUGAAAAUGAAGUUAAUAACAAUAAGAAUGUGGAAAUGAACAAAACCACUUGACAAAAAUGUAAGCACAUAGAUCAGUAGAAAACUAACUUUGAAAACUGCAGGCUCGUUCAUGUCAUUCCAUAUACCAUCAACACCAUUGGAAACAAACUCCCUAACUAAACUAGCCCACCAGGAACGAACUUUGGACUGUGUGAAGUCUGGGAAAACACAAGGUCCAGGCCACACCUCCCCUGAUAGACAAGAGUAACGUUUGCAUUAACUUCUCAUCAAGAAAACAGAUCACUAUUCAAGAUUGGAAAUAAUACCAAUAUAUGGCUGCCCAUUUGCAUUCUGAACCCAAACAUCACUUUUAGAGCCGCUAUCAUAUACAAAGUAACUCUCUUCACACUUGAUUCCCGGGUCAAGCAUCCAGAUUGCUUUGAAACCCAUAUCAUGGAGAUCUCCUGUUAAAGAACGUGGAUCUGGAAAGCGUUCCUGAGAUAGUCGUAAGAGGAUAACAGUCAUUGAGUCAAUAAUAGUGGUGAAGCGACCUUCUUACAAAUUUCCGAGCGUCAACAAAACAUGGUACGAGAAGUUAUACAAAAGCCAGUUACAACCUGAUCUAUUCAUUGUUGCUUCCGGUGAGCCGGAUACAUUUUCUAUAGUUUAAAGCUGUCUUUUUUCUUUUUUCAUUAUAGAAAAAGAAAUGUCUAAAGGCAGCUUUUCAUUACAGAAAGUGAAUCAAGCACACCGAAAACAACAAUGAGAUAAAUCAGGUUGUAGGUCAUAAUACUGAGUAGUGGUACAGUGGCACCACUCCAGCUCUUGACCAAACUAUUAACCUUUUAAAGUGUUGCUUAUUUUAACCAUGAAGCCGCCUAAUUGUAAUUAAACUAGUAUAUGUGUCGGAACCUAAACAGUGCUGUAAUGCUCGAUGUAACAUCCAUAACGGUCAUGAGAUUACAUGUAGAAUGUGGGACGUGGACAAACAGAGCAAUCAAAUAUUCCAUAGUGGAGACAGAAACACAAAGAUAACAAAUGAAAGUCUAGCCUUCCAACAGACUAUGAUACUACUUGUAUAUCAUGAUAUAAGGAAUACAUGCCUUGUCAAAAGUGAAACAUCGAAAGCCUUCCAUGUAGUCAAUAUCCAUCCAAAUGACGUCACAAGGGAUGUCCUUCUCACGGAAUGUUUUGGCAACCUGCACAAGUAACUCCUCAUUUAUUAGGAAACGAUAUUGUUGAAUCCAAGUAAAGAGGAAAUCUCACAGCGAAAAUUCCCAGCUUUUAUCUCAUUUUCAGGGAAAACAUGGGAACUGCCAAGCAAAAGAAGAAACUUUUACAUAGAAUAUAUUUUAAAUUUGAAGAACUUUGAACUAAACCAAAACUAUGGAAAAAGAGAUACCAACUAACAAUACAGAAUCUUUUUACUCCAGAAUCCCAAUUUUAAAGCAACUAACAAUCAUUGGAAAAAUUAUUGCCAGGGUAUAAAAAAACAUGAGUAAAAUGUCCCUUUAAGGCGAGAAAAUUUGGCUUUAUUAGAAAGCUAUUACUUAGUCACUCACCUCUCGAACUCUCUUGGCAGAAUCAUAGCUCCAGCGGCAUUGCUGAUAGCCUAAUGACCACUUUGGAGGCAUGAAAACCGUACCUAUGUAGAACCAUACAAAAGCCCAAAUAAAUAAAAGAAAAAUCAUCCAAACAAUGAAAAAGAACACAAACAAGUCACUGGCCUAGCAGGAGCCACACAAUAGAACUACUUCUUCUAAGGCAAGCCAGAAAAACAAUAGGUCAAUUUCGUAUUAAAAACUACUAAAGUUGUUCUACUUUACAUUAUUAGUUUAAUAAACUAAACCUUUUCUGAAGACCUAGUUAUUACACUGUGUAAUUUUCAGGCUCAUAUUUUCAACCACCCCAGCAGAACCAAGCAAAGUAAAACAAUAUGGAGAUCAUGAAAACGGCACAGAUGAAAGUCAUUUAGAACUUAGAUUCUUACCAAUCGCACGUGACAGAGAUCUCAAAACAGCUGUUGGUGAUGGAAAUGGGCCAAAAGAUAUGAUGGGAUAGGAGGAUGGGGCAAUAAACCUAACUAUUGAUUCAGUUCUCAGAUCAAUCUGCAUUUCAAUAGGUUUAUUAAUAAUUUACUUGGCAAAAACAUGCGAGGGUUACAAAAGGGCCCCCAGGUAUUCUAGAAACAAAGAAUCCAAUAUGUUGCUCACCUCACAGCGCUUAGUGGUAUCUGCAAGUAGUCCAAUUGCCUCUCCAUUAGGAAGAAUGGCCAACACCCAAGGAUGUGAUUGGUACAAGGAUGUAGUUCCUGGACCAUAACCCCAGGCAUCUGUGUUCCAAGUGAAAACCUACAGUUUAGAAAAAAAUGACACCUUCAAUUUAGAUUUCAAGCACGUUUACUGUAGGCAUAUAAAACAGCAAAACACUUACCCUUUUUCCAGUCCUCUCAAGCUGUCCACUAACUUCUCCACUUCCGUAAAAGGAGGUACCAACGGGCAGCUAACCACAAGAGCAAACAAAAUGGUCAAUUUACAAGGAGCCAAACAAAGAAGCUCCGUCAGUAGUAAGUAGACCAUAAAUGUUCACCUGUAGAUGGACACACUGAUUUCCGGAACCACACUUAAAAGUUGGGAUAAAUGAAGGAACAGCUUGAGUAGCAUUAGUAAUUGGCAUGUCCCUAUAUUUGGUAUCGACGAAAGAAACGCUGGGAAAAGCAACAGCUCGAUCGUCCACAGAGCAAUCGAAUCGGAAAACCCCUUCCUCCAAGAUUGGCUGGAAAAUCAUGUCGCCGGAACGGACAUCGCGCUCAGUAAACUGCGUCGCCUCUCUUUGAGAAUUGGACAUUUUGGAAAAUAGCCUAGUUCGCUUGGGCCUCGGGUACCUGCAUGCGAUCAAAUCUGAUUCAGGAAAGCGGAAAAGCACAACACAGUGAUCGGAGAUCAAGGGACGAAGCAGAACCUGGGAAAGUAUAUAGAGGAAGCGAGAAGAGAAGGGAAAGGAAGAAGAAGAUUAGGAUGAUGAUGAUGAUGAUGGCGUUGAGGAGUGGGUGAGGGAAGUGGAAAUGGCGCCACUAGUUCCAGGCCAUGGGAGUGCAGUGGAGCAGUUGUGAUGGUGGUCGACGGUAGAAAUCGUGCCAUUUCUAGCUUUUUGUUUAUUUAUUUCUUACAUUUCCUUCUACUCGCCCAAUCAUCCAAACCUAUCAUUUGUCGUAAACAUACGUAAGGAUUCGCGGAAAAUAUUAUCCGAUUUGUUUGCUCUUGUCAACAAGAAAUUGCCACUAAUCACUUCUGAGAAACCAUCCGAAACGGAAAUUAAUUUAAAGAAAAUGAAAUAAUAACGUUAUUAUGAAGGUUUUAUUUUCAGCUCACAUAUUACUUUUUACGAUGACUUAAAUUGUACAAUGCUUUCAUUUUACUAAUACGUUUUCUAUAUUAAAAAAAAUUGAUCUACUUUUAAUUAUUUUCUAAAACUUUAUAAAACACGCGAAUAAUUUUAGUAUAUAUAAAAGGAACACAAGUUUUAAUAUUUUGUCCACAUCACACCUUAUUUCCAUCAUCGUCUUCUAAAAUAUCAUAAAAGAGAGAAUUCUAUACGAAAGAAAUAGCUUCUUGAUUUGAAGUCUUUGAAGUGGAUGGCUCCUUUCUCCUUGUGUUGGCGUAAAGAUUCAAGCCAGAGACAUUUGCAGAUUAACGGAAGUGAUUGGUUGCAGACAGUUGAUCUGUUGUUCUCAUUAGUUGUAACCUGUAAGUUUUCAAACAAGAUAACAAGUUUUUUUCUGUGGUUUUGUAACUAGUUAUCUGUGUCAGUGGUAUAUCUCUUCCAUGUAUUUUGUAAUAAAUAAAAAAGUCAAUGAAGCACAAGUCAUGAAGCAGUUGCCACAGCAGCAGCAGCUUGUGCAUGCACUCUGGGACCAGGUUCAGAAUGGGCUUUCCGAACGGUGACAAGUGCGGAGGCAAGGGCGGCGGCUGUGGAGAGAAGCGUAAGAACCCCAGAGCCGGCGUAGAUCCCAUCCUUAACGACGUAGCAUCUUCCGUCGAGCCAGCCAUUCCCAUACGGCUGAGUUCCGCUCAUGCUUGUCGCUCCCCCUAACAGCACUGCUGCCAUCCCAAAACUCGCCCUAUUUUUUAAAAGAAACAAGACAACUCGCUGAGUUAUUUAUUAGAAUAGCAAACCAUCCCUACAUUAUUCUAACUUGUUUACUAGUCUGUAACACAAAAAGAAAAAAUUAAGAUACUUGAUAAAAGUACAUUCAACGGGAAUCAGAAACUCCCCCCUUGCAGAAAGGCAAGAAUCAAGGGUCGCCUCAUUUGUCAGACAUUAGCAAAUUAAAGGCUAAAGAUCAUUUCUUUACGAUCGCUAUGAGUUGGCAAAUGUUGUCAGACAGACACACUGUCAUUAUCUCAAAAGGGUUUGUUUGUUUCAUGUGAUCAUAGAUGUGACUGACUGAUUAUGAUCAAGUUCCAGCCAUUUCUCCCGGAAACAGAGCUUUCAAAAUUCGACAGGGGAAACAGAGCUUUCAGAAUUUCAUCAAUAUGGACCCAACCAACCUUGAGCUAGCUAGGACACAGGUUAGCCCAUCAGUUCCGCCAUUGAAAUUGAUGGGCGAAUCAGGGCCGAACUGAAAAUGAUUAACUUCGAAUAUUUCUAGUAAAUGCAGUAAAUGAAAAACAGAAGGAAGGGCGAUGGUUUGAUGAGUAAUUACCAGGAGAGAAGCAUGAGGAGGAUGGCCGGAAUAGUAAGCUUACUCCGGCUGGACUUGGCGGAAGAAGACAAAGAAGAAGAAGAAGCAGAGACGGUGGAAUUGGAAGGAGGCAGAGGAUGAUCAGUGGUGACAGCCGGCCGCUUGUUGGGCGAAGAACACGAAAAGGAGACGAAGAAGAAGUUGGCGCAUAUAACCAAGUUGGUAAGAGUAUGCGCAACUACUAGACACGCGAUUGCCGCCAUUCCGAACCCGAACGCAUUGCUCUCCGGCAUGUAACACAUCGCAUUCACCAGUUUCACAUCCUUCUUCUGCCCCAUAUAUAUACGUAAUAUUGAAAAUCAACGAUCGGAAUCAAAGGUAAUUAACGGGAGAGGAAAUGAAGGAGAAAGUGGUGAUGAAUGAUGAUCACCUUGGCUUUCUUGGUCUCGGCGAUGACGGAGGAGACAAAGGAUGCGAGGGCGAGGGAGAUGACAAUGGCGAGGAAGAAGAGCAACCCAAUUCUCUGCUUCUCCAUUUGUGACUGAAUGGAGAAAAGGAAUUGAUAAAAAUGAUGAUCCAAAUUACAAAAAGGAAAAAGGAACAAGGAAGCUUGGAGUUGACUCAAUGAAUAUGUAUAUGUAUUUUGUAGUGUUAUGAUGGGAGAUUGUGCACUGUUACUGCUCACCUUUCUUUCUUUCCAACACGGAACAGAGUAGGGGGGAGAUCUGGGGAUGGGCACUGUUGUAUUGUCCCACCUUUUGUCUUGACUUUCAAUCCAUUGGCUAGAGUUUUUUGACUUUCUCGUUUGGCCAAUCAACAGAAUUGGAAUAAUAACGUACAGAGUGUUGUUGCAUUGUAUAUUUGUAAGUGUAACUUGUGUAUAAAAUAAAUAAAUAAUAAUAAUAUGUGUGAGUCAAAAAGGAGAUUAACAAAGGAAUAAUCUAUUAAGAAAAGGGCAGAGUUGUGAAUGCAAAGAGGACGAAUUUGAUGGAUGAUGUGAUCCGCCUUUCUGUCUUUGUAAUUGCAAUUAACAAGAGUGUGUGUGUGUGUCGUGUGAGAGUGGGAUGAUGGGAUCGGAUUCUAUGAAAUUAAUUUUUAAUUUACUCAUAUCCCCAAACUUGUACUAACCAGGGUAGGUGUUUACUUGCACAAGGACUGUACAGAAAAGGGCUUGUAAUGAGAGAAGUUUCUACCAAAACGCUAAUCUCGAUGGGCUUUUUUAUGAUUAGAGAAGAUUAAAUUGUUUAUUCAAAAAGAUAAAAUAAAAUAAAUAAUAAUUGUCACGUGGACUAUCUGUUCCAUGACAGCUUUCUUGUUUAGUGUUUUGUUGACAACAACAUGACAUAACAACUCCAACAUGACAAUGCACUUAAUUAUAUAUUACUAUAUUAAAAUACAUUACCAUGACAAAUAAAUAUUACUAAACUCGAAACAAUAUUGGAGUAAAUUUUUGCAUAACAAGUAAGUCCCAAAAUCCACUAUGUACGCAAAUGAGUUUGACUUGAAAUUUCGAAUUUGAAAGAGACUUUUUGGAGAAACAAACUUAAAACUCAGAGCACAGUUUCUUCCUCCGGAGACGCUCAAGAACCGAGAGAGCCGUGCAAUAAGCAAUCGCCUGGACAGUGACCAUCGGAUUCACCCCAAGCGCCGUCGGGAAAACGCUCGAAUCCGCCACGUACAGCCCUUCCACCUCCCACGUCUCCCCUGUCUCCUUCACCACCGACACCUCCGGAUCCACCCCCAUCCGGCAGCUCCCCAUCUGAUGCGCGGAGCCCAGCUGCGUCCGCAGUCCUCUUAUCGGCCUCCUGCUCUCCUCCUUCACGAACCUCUCCAACUCCUCGCUCCCAACUUCCUUCACAUUGAUGCUCUUCCCGCCCAAAUUAUGCGUCCCUAUUUCUUCCGCUCCCGCCGCAGCCAGAAUCCGCAGUAUCUUCUCCACCCCCUUCUGCAGAUUCCUCUCGUCCGACUCUUCCAUCUCGUAGCUAAUGUUAUCGGAGCAAUCUUUCACAGCACCCGACCCUCUGUCCCUGGCCAAUGUGAAUAUGUGCGCAGUUCGCGAGAACCUAGUCAUACGCCUUUUCAAAUCGUAUCCGGACACCCACGGCAUGAAACUGGAGAACAUUCCGGGAUGCAGAGAAGGAGUUUGUAUAAUUGCCCCAUAGAGACCAUCAUCAUCAUCUGAUUCGUCCUCACUAACCUUCGACAUCGCCGUCAUUAUCGGACCUUCGUAGCUCCUCUGUUUCCCUACUUCUUCAUCAGGGAAGUAUCCCCACGCCAUUGUCACCGGGUGGAGGUGGAGAUUCUCCCCAAUGUGACGAUUCCUUAAUCCGCUUCUCCGCAGCAAUGGUGGAGUGCUUAGAGCUCCGCAAGCCACUACGGUAACUUUCGAUUCCACCAUAAAUAUUUCCUUGGUCAUCGAUUCGAACACAACCCCAGUUGCUAUUUUCCUUCCAUUUCUUGAUUCGUGGAGGACUUUAACUGCUUCGCAUCCAGGAAGAAUCACACCAUUCCCUGAAUUAACCAAGUCCACCAACCAUGUCUCUGAAGUCCCCAUUUUGCGCCCUUCUCUACAGCCGAAGCAACACCAUCCACAUCCGUGUUUCGCGUCUGAGUUUCUCGGGAUGUCGUCAACUGGAUACCCUAAUUGCUGGCACCCUUUCCUCAAGACGGCAUUGUUGAGUCCUUCCUCCACAUCGACUUUGGUAUGAACUCCCAUCCUCCGGCAAACCACCUCCAUUGCUUCUCUAUACAUCUUGCUCUCAAACAGCUCCAGUUGGUUUUCAUGGCUCCACUCUUUGGUAACCUUGUGUGGAGUUUUGAUGGAGGCGGACCAGUUGAUAGCCGAGCCUCCUCCCACUGUCGAGCCAGCGAGGACUACGAAGCUCAUGUUGUCGGUGGCUAGGAGGCCUCCUGAGAGGUACAUUUGGUCCAUGGAAGGGCCUUCGAGUAGCGAGAGGUUGCUUCUGGCAAAGUAACUUCCUUUCUCCAGGACGAGCACUUUGAAUCCGGCGUUUGCUAGCAUUCCUGCAACCACGCCACCACCCGAGCCGGAGCCCACUACUACAGCAUCACAUUUGAUGUUGAUCGAUCCGGUAGUGGUGGCGGAGACUUUGAAUCCCGAUUUUUGUAGGGAUUCUGUGAUUGUACUCGUUGGGAGAUUUGUGUUGAUGAUCCCUCUGUGGAGUGGUCCGUGGGGAUGUUCUUUAGUGUUGGUGAUAUUGGCAGCUGGGAGAGGUUCAUUUGGGGGAUGUUGUUCUGCAGUUUUGUAUGCAGGAUCUGAUCCUGGAUAACCAAUUGCUUCCCAUGACGGAUUCUCAUUCUUCUCGUCAACCUGGCAAGUACAUGGAUUAAAAGAGGUGAAUAUUAUCAAAUUGCUUGAGAGUGUUAGUUUCAUGAUUAUGGUUGCUCAUCUCAGUCCAACAUAUUUAUUUUUUGAAAACUAUACUUGAAACAAGAGCAAUUUCCUUGAAUGUUAAAUGAGAUCUUCAUCCAACUUUCAAAAUGCAGCUAUGAUUACACAACUUGUCCCAUCUGUCAAAAGAUAUUCUGGACUGAGAAAAUAACUUUCCAAUGGGUAGUUAAACAACAUUGAAGUCUGCACUAGGCAGGAUAUAAAUAUAUAUUUAUUUUGCUCAAAAUAUGUAUUUUCUAAGCUCUAUACCUAGCCAUGCGUUGUGGUCAUAGUCUAGGAGAGACUCCCUUGAUUCCACCGCUAUCCACCGAUAAUAGAGUUCGUCCACCAUUAUAGAUGAUUAUGAGAGCAAGUAACUAUAUAGAUUGAUUUUCUUAUCCAUCUAACUAAUCAAUGUGUUAGGUAAGAUAGAUAGAGAGAUAAUAAAGGCUAAUUAUCAUGGUUAGUGAGUCCUAGCUAAUUUUAGCUAACAUGGACAGCCGUCCAGAAAGAAUUGAUAAAGACAAUCUAGCUACUGUUUCCUAUUAUAAGUAUGCAUAACAUCAUAACCCCAUGCAUAAAGUUAAUUAAGCAGUUCUGAAGUGGAUGUACCUGGGAGAAGAAGACAAGUGGAAUGAGGAGUUUGAAAGCCUUGAAGAGCAUCCUGAGGUGGAAGAAGAUGCUCUGAGACCAUGAGAGGACGAUUUGUUCCCUUUUCUCAAGAGGGAUUUCAGGGAAACUUAAGAUGAAUGGGAAACGAGAUGAAAUGCUGAGCCUGCCACAUAGGAUGAAGGUCCCGAUCCACGUGGACAGCAGCCACAGUGAUAGUCUUACUAGCCAUACCUUUGGGUGCUUAAGUCUCCCACUGAUCAACCUUCCUAUCUGCUCACAAAAUAUGAACCACGCAUUGCAUCCCCCAGUUUCAAUUGUCAGAAACCCACAUUUCAAUUUACUUCGGAAGUAACUACUCAGGAAAUAUGUUGGAUGGGGAAAGUAGUGUAUGAAUCCGAAAGAUAGCGAUGGAAAAAGGUAAACGAGGAAGCAAUCAUCGUCGAUGGAUCCAAAGUGGUUCAAUGUACUGUGUCGAAUUAUAUAAGAGUUUAAAUACACUAUACUUUAUAUAAAAAAUAUAUUAAUCAAUUUAAAAAAUAAAAAAAUAAAGAAAAUUACAUAAUAUUAAACUUUAAAAUCUAAAAAUAAAUUAGCUCGGACCCAGAAAAAUAACAGUAGACAACCUCAGUUACUAUUGAGUUUCAAGUUUGGACGUAUUGCUGGUUUGGAUUACCUAACCUUAAGCUACCCAUACACACGAUCAUGUGGGUUGGUUGCCCAUUUGUGUGAUAUUACGAAAACCAUAUUACGGGGUUGUAGGGGAACAUGGCUCUAUUCAGGAUUUUAGUUUACUAAAAAUCAAUGUAUCCGUACUUUCAAUCAUCCCAAAAAUCGAUAAUAUUGAAUAGAGGUUUAUAAUUUAGACGUUAAGCUCUACCCGAUCAAAAAAAACAGUAACUAGCAAAUGUUCAAACAAAAACAACCCACCGAAAUUAAAAAAAAGUAGGAAAAUGCUGAUGGAGCCCGAAUUGGAAACACCCAAAACAUCAAAUCGCCCGAAUGGACCUACUUUUCGAACGACUUCUUGCCGGUGAAUCACUCCUUAUGACGGGAUCCGGUAGCUGAGCCCUAACUUUUAUUAAAUAAUAAAAAAAAAUUGUUUUGGUUACCUCUCUCUUUCCUUGUAUUCAAUUUACUACUUAUAGAAAAAUAUAAAAGUUUAAUUGGAUAUUAUAAGAUGACGUUUACUAAAUAUGGCAAGCUAGAAUGGUUAUAAUAACGAGUGAUUUUCUCCUAAAACGACCAGAAAUAAACAUUGGUAUCAUAUUCAUAUGUACAGUAUCAACUGUGAUUUCGUUUUAGAACAUCCAAAACCUUAGCAGAUACAGACAUAUCAAAUAACAAACAAACAAACAAACUGACAGACGUACGAUUUAGGUGGGGAAUUUAAACCAGAAAAUCUGCAGAGAAUCACUCAAGACCACGAAAGAAGCGUGAAUCAGAUGACUGCUAACUAACUAACGUAUCGCGUCAUCAACGUGCAUGGAAAAUGGCUUACAUCAAAUUCAAAAUUGAACAAUACAUAACAACAAACAAAUUACCCUUUGAGGAGUUCCGGCCAUGGACGCCGACGUCUGGUAGAACUCGGCAACGACGGCCGAUUGGUGGUGGUGGUUGUUGAUGGACGGAAAGAAGGUGUCGCAGAUAGAAAUGAGCGACUUCAUCUCCCUCUCCGUUAUAUCAUUACCAGUCAUCAUUAAACGGCCGUCGCCGGCGUUAGGCGGCCUUCCAAAGUCAAUUACUACUGUAGUACCCCCCUCCUAAACAUCCGAUCCCUCCCGUCGCUGCAUCAUCACCAUCGUACACACAAACAAACUAUAGUUAACUACCCGAUUUUCAGACUUGUUUGUUAUAUAAUUCGUGAAGAAGAGGAUCUCUGUUAUAUUUAUAUAUAUACAGAGGAAAUUGGAGUGAGAGUGAUGAGACGAAGAACAGAGGAGGGGGGGGGGGGGGGCACACGGGGGGGGGAACAAAAAAAAAAAAAAACACACUCGGGGAGAGAGAGUGCAUGCAAAACUUAACCCAAUUGAAUCCUCCUGAUGAUCCUGCCCACUUGAUCAUUGACUUCGUUUUUCCUUAUAAAUUAUUACUUGUAGAAAUGAAAGGAACAGGGGGAGGGUAAUGAAGCCUGUUACCUGCUCUGUUCUGCAAUAUUUUGCAAUUACUUUAAACUGUGGAUUUGAUGCUUCUUGCGUCAGAUUUUUAUACAGUUUUUUUUCAUGUCCAAGUACACCAUUAUAUUUAUUUAUAUAGAAGAAGAAGAGGGUUCUUAAGGAAAGGGAAAAGACCUUCUUUUUCGAUGCCUCCAAAGAAUAUCUCUACUUGUUAAUUCUCUGACUCUGUUCAUCUCCUGGAAAUCAACUUGCCCUGCCCAUUGGAUUUACCUAACCAAUGUGUCUCCACACUAAAACAAAACAUUUUACUGCUAUUAUUACACUAUUAGGUUUUUUUAAUUUUUUUUAGAGACAUCUUAAUCCGUAUAAAAUAAAAAAAAUAAAUAAACAUUAAAAGGUGGUUAUUUUGUUGGGUGUACUACAUUCGAAUUCAUGACCUCCAAUAGAUAAUUUUUUUGUCUUAGUUGAAUAUAGACGGAGCGAACAUUACCUUACAAGAGGAAAAUGAAAUAAAUAUAGCAUAAGUGUCUAUACGUAGGUUAUGGUUGGAUUCGACUCAAUUAUGUUUCCGAUAAGAAGAGAUAAAAUAUCGUGAAUCAACAGCUAACGUAACUAAUAUUUGAUAGGUUUCCUCUGUGAUUGUGACUGAUAUCAAACCCGAAACUUCUGAAUUACUGAUGCAUUAUACUACCAACUGAAAUAUGUACCGAAAUAGAUGCCUUUAUUGUUCGCCGCCCCCUAUUGGAUUAUGAUGUUCAGUAUUAAAUAACAGAAUCACUUCCAAACUACUUAUAUGUUUAUUCGUCUUCCAAUCGUACAACCUUCCAUGUGUCUAACAAGUAACGAUUGCAUAUAGUUGUACUCCCCAUUAACUGUGUCUAUAAACUAUUUUUAAAAAUAUAGUUAUACUCCCCAAAUAUGUUGGUUUAAAAAAAUAUAUUUGAAUAUACUAUUUUUUGUCCACUAUGAUUGGAAGAUGGUGGUUCUCCUACUAGAACUGUCUGCUCGUCCGGCCGGUGAGAUCAUAAAAACAUUACAAAAAUUAUAAUCAAAGAUUGUCUUAUUUCAGUUAAUCUUAAUCCUUAGAUUAUGUGGAAAAGUUAAGGAUUAUUAUUUUGUUUGAUCGGGUAAAAUAAAAUUUGGAUUCUUGACCUAUAAUCAGAUUGCUGUUUAUAUGGAGGUUUUAACAUGACAAAGUCAAAAUGAGAAAAUCAACACAAUGACGUCAAACAAGAUGGUGUGAAACAUGAAGACAAGGUUGUUGUGCUGCGUUAGGAGUUGACAUGACAUAGAAGCUCUUUUGUUGUCGUAAGGUCAACAUGGUGGGGAAGCUAAAGCCAUUGGUAAGGUUGACAUGGCGACAGUUCGUAAGGGUUGGCAUAAAGGUGACUAUAAGAUUGACAUAUGGUGACCGUCAGUGGCGGGAGUUGACAUAGUUGGCUAACCCAUUAGUACAAUAGACAUGGCAUGGCAAAGAGGUAGAUGGGCAACAAUUGUUUUGAUGAAUGCAAGAAUCAACUUGGUAUAUGGGCGUCUUAGUUGCCAGCUUGAAAGGGACGCAGCUGGUUUCAAGUCAGUGUUAAGUGUUGGGCUAAGCUAUGGUGCAAUUGGUAAAACGAGCUUGAUGGUUGUGGGUACGUAGUCUUGGCCGAAUUGGUGAUUCGCCAAUGACACCUUUCUGGCGAUUUCGACCAUAUUUGGAUGGGUUUGUAACCUUUUCCCCUCCAACUCGGCCAAGACCAAUGUGGUAAUGUGCCUUGGUCAAAAAAUAACCCUAACCUUUUGAUCUCAAGCUUCAUGCACCUUUGGUCAGUGGCCUAUCAUAUAUUCUUUGCUUGGCGGGCCUCUAAAGAGUACUGUGAACGGAGCAAUUUUUGAAGAGCAGAGGAUGCGAGAAAGCAAGGAUAAUUGUUCAAGAUCCAUGGCGACCUUGAGUUUCGUUAUGUGAAAAGGACUAGAAAUGAAACUGUCAAUGUACUCGCUAGCGCUAGAUGCCUUUGGAUGUACUUGUUACCCAGAUGAAGGGUGUUCUUGCAUUACAAUUCAUGACAAGCCGCUGAUAAUACAAGUGUACUGUUCCGGCUCCCGAGUUUGCAAGAUUGGGACUCUGAGUCAACCCGGCAUCCGUAGACACUUGGCAGUGGUACUAGUUGACUAGUUGUGUGGUUCCCAUACACGUCCGGCGCUGAUAUUUUGUAGCUCUUCAGCUGGCAGAUAAACAGGUGGCUGCUUGACUCUGCAGCUCCACCCUGCUGCAUCAUUCCAAAAUUCAGUGCUAUCAUUCACACCACUUCACCAUCUCCAUCGAUGCGAAAACUGUCAAAAUUCGACCCACCAUGACCCAAUCCCUACCUUUGCUCCAUACACCCAACUCAUUCCCUGUCGCCACAAUCCCCUCCGCUCUAACCUGGACCGUCCCUAAUGCCUCCGGCUUUAGCUGCCAUCGCCGACGUUACAAUCACCGGCUGCCGCUCGAAAUCGCCAGAUGUGCUAACGCUGACGUUCCUCUUGUUGCAGAACCCACAUCGUCUUCUUCACCGUCCACCAAACCUCAUGCGAUCGGAUCGAAGAGGACGAAACUGGAGUCCCUGGAGGAAGAUAUAGAGCGGGUAAAAAUAUGUCUGUGUGUCUAUACUCACGUCUCUUGUGUUCUCAUUUUCUCUUACCUUUCACCUUCAUUUUCUUAAUUCCGCAGAUUGUUUAUCGAUGCCGGUUUCUGGCGAUCCUUGCUGUUUUCGGUUCCUUGGUUGGAUCGUUGUUAUGCUUUAUCAAGGUAAAUAUCAAUGCUCACAUUAUAUUAUGAAUGGCUAUCGCAACUCGGCUAUUUCAGAUUAAUGAAUUCUACUUCAGUCAAGACCUGCUUGUUCAUUUGAUUCCUUUUCAGUUCGGCAGAAUACUAGUUUAAAGUUUAGUUUGUAAGAUUGCUCUUUCUUUUUGCAGUUGGUGAGAUAGAUUAGUCCAUUAAGCUCUGCAAAAUUAGAGAUAGUACCUAACCGAUACAACGUUUUGCUUGAACAUACAGGGUUGCGCAUAUGUUGCAUCUUCGUUUAUGCAGUAUUUCGCCACUCGUGGAAAGGUGAUCAUAUUACUGGUAGAAGCCAUUGGUAAGUUCAUGUCAAUAAUUCUAGUUCUAGUCAUGUACAACUGAAUGAAGUGUGUAACUAGAUAAGAAACCAACUAUUUGUCCAUGCAAAACUUUGUGUGUAUAUGCAGUCCGUCUGAUUGUUAUGUUUUCCUGGGGGUGUGGGAGGGUUGAUUUCUGUUCGAUUUCUUGCUUAGAGCUAUGCCAGGGUUCGAAUAAGCACUUCCUCUGUUGGUUGCAACUCUUUGAUUUCGAUGUUGGGGAAUUUCGGCCUCCAUUUUAAGGAACGGUGUAUUUCCUAAAGCUGUAGUCUAGUGUUCUAAGGUUGACGACUGAAGAUGUAGUCAAACAUUGUGCAGUUGAAUUUGAACGAGGUAGUGAAUGGGGGGGACACUGUACCUGUCUGAAAAGAUGAGACCUUUUUCUUUUGGAAAGAAGUUUGCUGAUAUCUUGGUCUAUUACUUUCUCUCGGUUGAUUUAAUUCAGUUACUGGUCUGUUAAUGUGUCGGCAUGUGGCCCCUCCUAAGCAUGCAUCUUGAAGGAAACUAGCUAGAACACAAUUGGCUAUUUUGCUGAAUAUGAGAUCCUCGAAUGUGAAUGCAUUCACACUGUAAGAACAAUUUCUAAGCAAUUGUUGUGGUUGUUUUUAUUUAGGGAUGUCAUAGGUUUUGGUUCUUGGAAGGAGGAUAAAAUGAUAAUAAUGAUUCCUUAUUGAACCAUAACAGAGUCUGUAUAUGCUGAGGAGAUUGCUUCUUUCAUCGAACCUUUUUUACUUGUUUCUUUCUAUCAAUUCCAUACUGAUUGCUUUCUCUAACUGGUGUUUUGCUCUUCUGAAUACUAAAAGAACAUGAAAGAAAUGAUGAAUAAGACAAAUCCAUCUCUACUACGUUUAGCUGGUCCUGGUUUGUUUAUAUACCCUGUACAUCAGGAAAAGAAUUUAGUUUGUUAGCAGAUAUUGUUGCUGGAUUUGUACUCUUAUGUGUAUCUUCAGUUUCUCCUUGUUUACAUAAUCUUUCUCAACCUUCCUUAAGCUGCGUUCUUUUGUUCUGCUUUAGUUGGUGUCAUUUCCUUGCAUUAAGAGCUCUGCAUUCUCUGAAUUUAGAAAGAUAACGCCUUCUUAGUUGUUCAUUCUGUUUUAAGUUAUCGAGCACUGAUAUUUAUGUUUGUAUUGUCCCUAUGUAUAUUUCAAGGUGACGAAUAAGAAAACAAGAAUGUUACAAUGUUCACUCGCAUCACGAUAGGAAUCGGAUGUUGGUCAUCUUUCUUUGAUCCUACGAGCUGUGUACUCACAGUCAAGUCUUUGUUGUUUUUUCAUGUGGUGGUGGUCAGAUGUGUAUCUCUUGGGAACAGUGAUGCUAGUUUUCGGAAUGGGACUCUACGAGCUCUUUAUUAGCAAUCUCAGCCCGUCAAAGAUGUCGCCAGGGGAAACAAUGGCAGAUCGAUCAAAUUUAUUCGGCAUGUUCACUUUGAAGGUAAGUAAUCUGAGAGGCCGGAUGUUACGAGAACCGCGACAUAUAUGACAAUCGGGAAAUGCUGCUGAACGUUUUGUUACUUGUCGUCUUUUUUCUUCCUAUAGGAGCGACCUAAAUGGUUAGAAGUGAAGACUGUGAAUGAGUUGAAGACGAAGCUGGGACACGUGAUCGUGAUGCUCCUUCUGAUUGGAUUUUUCGAGAAAAGCAAGACAGCUGCUAUACAAUCCCCGCUUGACCUGCUUUGCUUUGCGACCUCUGUGCUUCUGUGUUCAGGUUGCCUCUACUUGUUAUCUAAGCUAAGCGACCCAAAAUGAGGAUUGCAUCCUUACCAAAUGGAACUAAAAUAGAGCAUGCGGGACCAAGUCAUGUCUGUCUGUAUAUAUUGUAUCUGUGUACAUGAAUUCCAGAUGUAAUGGUAUCACUUUUCUCUGCUAACAAGCCUCUCGGCUAUUACCUGAGUUUUGACGAAAUAUUUCUUCCCAUGUGAUAACCGUUGAUGCUUCUAGGUUUCUGGAUAAAAUUCAUUUUCCAGAAAUAAUUUAAGGUCAACUCGGAUUUUGGGCAGAAUUGGUUGGGUUUGGAGGUCAACUCCGGACACCUAACCUAUUUUGUCAGAUACGUUUUCCGUUCCCAUAAAACGGCAACCCUAAUUCUGUCGGUUUAAGGGGCUUCCAGCCUGUGUAUUCCGUUUGGAGAGGUCCAGAUGUUUUAGUCCGACAUAUUUUCCCUUCAAUUGAAAUUAUUUCAGCGAAAAAUGAAGCCUAACUUUUAUUUGUAACUAAAUGAGGUUUGGAAAUUUUGACAUAAACGAAAGUCGCGUGAAAUAAUAUUUUUCCUAGUAAAUAUUCUCAAUUUCAAUCAUAAAAAUAUAUACAUCGGAAGAGUGUUGAGGGUAUGGUUUUACCAUCUCCCAACAUGAUUUAUAAUGUAGUGCGAGAAUCUAGCUGUUCUCAGACUCAAUGGUACUCUUUCUUUCAAAUUAACUCUAAAAUUAGGGCCGAAAAUCGGGACGAGAAUGGGAUUCUGUUCUCGAAUUUGUGAAGUCCCGAAAUUCCCAAAUCCCAAAUUUUUAAAAUUUGAUUCGGGAAAUUUAAUUCGGGAUUUGGGGUUACGAAUUACGUUUUUUCCCAAAAUUUCUAUUCCUAUGCCUCUAUGUACUAAAUGAAAUAAAUUUUGGGAGUAAAUAUCUAAACGACUAAAUGAAUCACGGAAAUAAAUUUUGGGAUUUUGGGAAUCCCAAAAUCGAACUAAAAAAACCGAACUUGAAUUUUAAGUUUGGUAAUGAGAAUAGGAAUUUCCGAUUUUUUUUCAAUAAUACAAAAACGGGAAGGGGAAAUUCCGAAUCCCAUUUUCCAAUUUUCAGCCCUAUCUAAAAUUGUUAUUAUAGUUCUUAAUUCAUCCGGAUGAUCAAACAAACCCCUAAAUUAACACCUGUAUGACGUUAAAUAAAAACUUUUUUUUUUGGGUAGAAAACUUAAACUCAAAACUGGAACAAAGUAAAAAAACUACUUCCUCAUGAAUUGUCUUCCGUCCUUGUCAUCCCGCCAAGUGCCCUGCAAGCUCUCCGGUGGUGACGCAAAUAGGAGCUCCUCCUCUCCAAUCGAAUCGUGUCCCAUUUUCGCCAUAAGAUCGGCUAGUUGGUUGGCUUCCCUCAUGAUGUGACCAACUUUACAGUUCCAGCCUCCUUCCACCAAUGAUUUGAUGUCCAUGACAACAGCAGCAAAAGGAUGGGAGGAGAUCUCAUCAUCUACAAUCAAUUUGAUAGCAUUGAGGGAGUCAGACUCCAAGUUAAGUACACCUGAGUAAAACCAAAAGAGUUGGCCAAGGAAAGGCCAUUCCGAAUCGCAAGCAACUCGAGCAAAAGAACCUCCUUCAUUGUUGUUUUGUGGCAAAACCCAGCAAUCCACCCUCCACCUUCAUCACGUAGUACCCCGCCGAAAGCUGCGGAAUUCAGCUCAGACCGACAACUACCAUCAACGUUAAUCUUAAUCUAUCCCGACUGAGGUUUCUGUCAACCAAACCAGCGAGGAACAACCACCGGUUUUGGAUCACGGUGGUUAUCUAACCGAGUCAGUGUUGGGUUGACCGAUUAGUCAACCGAAUUUGAUCUGUUAAAUUUAAGAGAUAUAUACAUAUGACCAAAAUUUGAAGGGAGUUGGUUACUAACCGAUCGAGUUGGUUGCGAUUCAAUCGUUAAUCGAUACAGACAGAUGUUCUGAGUGUAGCUGUCAAUGUUUGGUUAACCCUACUGUUACUGCUCUUCCUCUGCAAUCAUAGGUUGACAUUGAGGAGCACAAAAGUAUUAGAAAGUCAGAUUUUUAGGCAUUCAAAAGAGCUGUAAUGUUUCUGCACCUGGAGCAGGCAGAUAUUCACUCUUUAGCUUUGUCCAGAAUACUCAGUUAGUGAGUAGCUAGCUUGUACAUAAGUUAGUUUAGGAUGUGUUUGUUAAUAACUAGUGGGUUCCAUUGGAUAGCUCAAAACAAGUAAAAAGAAUUCGUCUUUUUCUAAUGUUAUUGGGAACAGUUUAAAAUUCUUGAAAAUUAGCAAGUGGAUUACCCACUGAAUUCCUAAGCCAGAUAGAGCCAAGUGGUCACGUGCUGUUUACUGAGAGGUUUCAUGCAAGUUACUAAACCGAGAUCAAGUGAUUGUUUUCUCUUCCAGUCACUUCCCAGCAGAUUCAGUAAUCUCCUUAAGGAGAAUCGGUUCUUCCUAUUUAACUCUAAGGUAAGUCUAUAGAUCUGUGUUGGGUGAUCAAUCUCUUGAGAUUUUGUUCAGAAACUUCGUACUCAAUUCUUUUGCUUUUACAGAGACUGACAUUUCUACUCGUGGAAGAGAGAAAAUGGAGCAGAUGCUCGAGCACUUCGGUGAAGGAAUGUCGACACUCUCCAACGCUUCUAUACAAUCACAAACAUCGCCAACAGAACAGCCAUCUGUCGGCAGUACUUUGGAGUAUGAGGUUUUCUUAAGCUUUAGAGGCCCUGAUGUCCGCAAAAGCUUCGCGGACUGCCUCUACAGCUAUUUGGUUCGUUCCCAAAUCUGCACCUUUAGGGACGAGGAAGAGCUUCGGAAGGGGGAGACGAUUGCACCUUCCCUGGUCCAGGCCAUCGCUGAAUCAAAGAUCUACAUCCCAAUUUUUUCGACGAGCUAUGCUUCUAGCAAAUGGUGCCUCCAGGAACUAGCGAAGAUGGUCGAGUGUUGGAAGCAAGGGGAGGGGCACAUCAUAUUGCCCAUUUUCUAUUUCGUGGACCCUAGAGAUGUGCGGCAUCAAGGCGGUCCUUACAAGGAAGCAUUCGAGGGGCAUGAUGGUAAACACGACCCGAGAACUGUACAGGAAUGGAGGGACUCUCUCCAGGAAGUUGGCCAAAUCAAAGGAUGGCACGUUACUGAAUCAGACGGGUAAGAUUUCAUAAAUAUAUGUUUUUGCAACAAGUGAUAUCAACAGUUGUGACAGAUUCUCUGAGGUUCAUAGAUGGUGUCUAAGUUAACUCUAUGCUAUGGAUGUGUAUAUACUGCAUUUGACUGCAACGACGACCAACUAUGCAUCCACUAGUUAGCUCUGUAUCAAAUCAAUAUUUUUACAUUUGGUCAAACUUUUAUUACAUUUUCAGGCAGGGAGCUGUGAUAAGUCAGGUUUUUUCUCAGGUCGAGUUGCACCUGCGGAGUAUGUACACUUUAGUGACUGAGGAGUUGGUAGGAAUUGAUUUCCACGUACAAGAAGUGAUGAGAUUGUUGAAUCUAGACUCCGGAGAUGAGAAAGUGGUUGGGAUUCAUGGUAUUAGUGGGAUGGGUAAAACUACCAUAGCCAAAGCAGUCUAUGACAGUAUCUGCACAAAAUUCAAUCGUUGUUGUUUCCUAGAAAAUGUAGGCGAAAUGUUAUCGAAGAAAGAUGGAAUUGUAGCUAUACAAAGUAAAGUCAUCUGUAGCAUUUUGAGGGACAACGUUAAGGUAGAGGAUGCUAGCCAUGGAGUCAGAACCUUACGACAGAGAGUUAGCAAAUUCAAAGUCCUAAUUGUUCUUGAUGAUGUGGAUGAGAGGUUUGAAUUUUGCCAAAUACUAGGAAAAUUAGGACACUUUUCCUCAGAAAGUAGAUUCAUCAUCACAACAAGAGACAAAAGAGUUCUAGAGCUCCUUCAAGAAUAUAAGUUGUAUGAACCCGAAGAAAUGAGUUAUGAUCAUUCUCUUCAACUUUUUAGCAAGCAUGUUUUUCGUAUGCAUUACCCUCCUGAAGAUUAUGCAACUCUAUGUGAUGAAUUCGUAAAAGUUGCAGCUGGGCUUCCUUUGGCUCUUAAGGUCAUAGGGUCACUCCUGUUUCGUAGAGAGAAACAGUUUUGGGAAGAGAAGUUGAUGGAACUAAAAGAAAUCCCUGCCACUAGCAAUAAGGUGCAGCAGAGAUUGAAGAUUAGUUAUAAUGAGCUGACCUGUAAUGAGAAAAAAAUCUUUCUCGACAUAGCUUGCUUUUUUAUUGGAGAGGGUAAAGAAUUGCCCGUCCAUUUGUGGAGUGACAGUAAACUUUUCCCUGAGAGUGGGGUAAGGACUCUUCUUCUUAGGUCCUUAAUAAAAAUCAACGAGAGAAAUCAAUUCUGGAUGCAUGAUCUUCUAAGAGACCUCGGGAGAUCAAUUGUUAUCGAGGAACAUGUUAAACAUCCAGGAAAACGCAGCAGGAUCUGGUCCAAUGAAGACGCUUGGAGCAUGUUGAAAAAUGUAGAGGUAUGUAUCUAUGUUCUUCUCCAUUGAUGGGAUGUGAUGUGAUGUAAUUGCCCUAAAAUGCAAAGUUCAAUUUUCUCUGUUUGCAGGGAACUGACCAAGUCGAAAUGCUCAGGAUUGACAUGCGAAAUGGCAGUAAUUGUAAGCUCACAGCGAAAGCAUUUGAAAAGCUGACAGGGUUGAAGUAUCUUGAUAUGGCAUAUUCCACACUUACUGGGGACUUCAGUGGGAUUCUUCCAGAUAUACAUUGGCUUAGGCUGCAUCAAUGUAGAUCAGUCCCCACUGAUAUCAACUUGAACAAAGUGGUCAUUCUUGAUCUGCAAAACAGCCCUGUAGAAGAUGAUUGGAAGGGAUGGAGUCAAAUACAGGUAGGUUAUUUGAUUCCCUUCCCUUUUUCCUUUUAAGCUGUUACAAACAUUACGUUAACACUUAUUUGAACUUUGUUGUACCUGUGUGUUUUUGGUAUGCAGGUGGCACGCAAGCUGAAAGUUAUCAAUCUACAUGGCUGCCAUAAGUUAAACAAAGUUCCUGACUUGGCCAAAUGUGAGAGCCUAGAGUCGAUAGAUCUCACCUACUGUUCGGGGAUGAGAGGGGAACUCAAUAUCGGCAGUUUCGGGAAUUUAAAAGUAUUAAGGUUUCCAGGGACAAAAAUCACCGACUUAACAGGUGACAUGGGAAAGCUUCAAAAACUGCAAGAGAUAAAAACGUGUACGUCGGUCUGGAGGGACCAAGAAAUAGUUCUGCUCCCUACGGCCAUGAAAUCCCUAACUAUAUCUUCUCCUAAAGUUUCCAAUCUUCUGGAGCUUAAAGACCUGGAGGAGCUAUGCUUUAUGGAAUGUGCUACUCGUCCUGAAAUUCCUGGGGAUAUAUGGCAGCUGACAAAGUUGAAGACUUUAAAGCUUUACAAGUGCAAUUACAACAAUGGUAGUCUAAUGGUGGAUAAGGAUGGCGCCCUUCCAUCAUCUCUAACCUCCCUUAUCUUUGAUUGGUGUUCGGGUUUGAAUACACUACCAAACCUUGCAACUCUGAAUAACUUGAUGGAACUAAGACUGAUUGAUGUCGGAGUAACUGAAAUCCAUGGAUUGGGAGAGCUGAGAAUGCUGCAAGUCCUUGAAAUUUCUUAUUCCGCAGCUUUAGAACAUCUCAAUGGUCUCGAAAAUCUCGUGAACCUGAAAGAUCUGGCCCUGAAAGAUUGUGGCGGGCUAGAAGAUGUACCCAGUCUAUCGGAUUUGAUCAAGUUACAGAGUCUAGUGAUCAUCAAGUGUCCCCGUCUCUCGAACAUUCACGGCCUGGGUGAAUUGAGGAGGUCGUUGCUAAAUCUGGAAGUAAGUGGUUGUGGCAAUCUGGCAAACAUUGAAGACGUUGAAUCACUGGAAGCACUAGAAAGUUUAACAUUGGAGACGGAAAAAUUACCGCCAUUUCAUGUUCAUAGCGGUCUAUGGAUGCUGGCCAUGGCGGAAGACGAGGAUAUCCCCCAAUAUUUGAGGCGGUACCGAAGUCCAAUCAAACAAUUCCCAGAUCUCUCACCUCUCCAGAAACUGCGAGAACUGUACAUUAUGGGAUGGAGCAAAUUACCCGAGGCCACAGGAAUCGAAAGGUUAAUAUCGUUGAAAUCCUUAGAAAUGACGGCUUGCAAGACGAUGAGGAGGUUGCCAGAUUUAUCAGGCCUCAAGAACUUGGAGAGUCUCAAAGUUAGGGGAUGCAUACGGCUGGUUGAUGUCACGGGUCUCGGCCGAUUGGAAUCAUUGCAAUUUCUGAGCAUGUCUAAUUGUUGGUCCCUUGAGGAGUUGCCUGAUGUGUUUGGUUUGAACAAGUUGGAGGAGUUGGAUGUGGAGGAAUGCACCGAGCUCGUUAAGGUCAUAGGCUUGGAGAAACUGGUGAAGUUGCAACGGUUACGAAUGACUAAUUGCAAGUCGAUUAAGGAGUUGCCGGAUAUGUCAGGUCUCGUUAAUCUGGAGGUAUUGGAUCUUAAGGGAUGCACAAAAUUGAAGAGAGUGAAAGGGCUGGAGGGAUUAGAGCGUUUAUGGCUUGUUAAUAUGGAUAAAAGGUUGCUGGCCAAGUAUAUCCUGAAAAUGGCUGUGUGGGCUGCCAGGGAAUUCGCCUCAUCACUGAGGAGUAGAAGGUUAGGCGAUUGAUUAUUAGCUUGUCACUCUCUAAUGGAUGUUGAUCAAAGUUUUGACAGAUAAAUUAGUAAUGUAAUUCAGAAUUAAUACACUAGACUAUGCGGUCUAGCUAACAGUACUCCAUAAUGGUAAGUACAGCUAUUUUUAAACAGAUAACAAGUAAUCAAAAUAGAAGGGUGACCGGACCAAUUUUGACCAUAGCUUACAAAAGCAAGCUAGCCCCUAACAACACACACCGGGGCUAUGACCGGGAGUCGUCGGCCUGAAAGCAUCUUGAUUUACCGCUUUAUCACGACUGUAUCGAUACGCCAGACCAACCGUGGUGGCCACGGAAGUCGGAGUCCCCUGCAUCGUAGCUGAAGCAGGGAGAGGAGGUGGGUGUUGAUGUUGCGGAUCAUGGUGGACUUGUUCAUCAUCAUCGAGUGGCCUUGCCCUUGCUGCUGCGGCUGUAAACAGGACAAGUAUAAGAAGAAGAAUAACUAUGUUAUGGUGAUUAUGAACCGCCAUAUCAACCAGAGUGAAUGAGAUGAGAGAUUAAAGAAGUUUAUAAUUAGGAGAUAUAUCAGUCUGGUUAGCAAACUGGUUUAAUUUAUAAGAUGGAACAAGUCUGCAUGCAGGUAUAUAGUUCCAGGUGGUGGUCAAUGGACCCACACGUGGUGUUUUAUUGGCGACACAUGUAAUAGUUUAGUACAUGUGUCCACUGGGGACAAAAAAGGAAAGCCCAGAUAAUAAUUUCCUUAAACAGCAUGUUUAAAGUUUGUUGAUACUUUUCUCCAAUUCAAAACUAGUUUAAUUCUGUUUUUCUUAGUUAAAGAUGAUCAAAAUGAAUAGUGGUGGUCUGUAAUUAUAAACUAUAGUCUUUAUAAAAAAAAGAAUUAUAAACUAUAGUAUUUUUUGUCACGUACGGUUCAGGAACAGUGUUUUCAUCCAGAUACUUACAGUCUACUGGAAUAUAAGUACUAAAAUUUUAUCCUCUUUUACGAAUUUAUACGAGUUGUUGGUCGACUUUCGUAACAACAUUUUAUAAAAAAGACAUAUGAGUAUAAUAUAACUAUAUAAGGUGUUUACGGGCUCUUGGGCCGUGCACUCACUAUAUUUGGAGAAUUGAAAGUGGGCUCAGUAUUACGUACGUCGGCCCAUUUGAAGUGGUGAGAAGCUGCAGAGCGCAGAAGCCUCCCGGUUGUUCAUAUUAGGAAUAAUAUAAGUGUUGUGAUUGAUGAUUAUUGAUUGAUUUAUAUGAUAUAAUAUAGGUAAUUUUUUUUGUGUAAAUAGUAAAUCGAAAUGUUUUGAUGCCCACUCAGUUUUUUGCGUAGAAUAAUUUUGGGAUGAUUAUGAAUAUUGAUUAUUAAUUGAAUUAAUUUUGGACCAAAGUAAAGUGAAGUGCGGUGUUAAUAGAGGUUUUGCGAGAUAAUUUACAAGUUGAUGUGCCGUCGACAUAUGUCUGAUGAUGAGGCGACCUUCUUGUACUGGUUCACGAAUAAAGUGAUAAUUGAGUGUCGGAUGUUUCAUGCGAGAGUGAAAGAUCAUAGGAUUAUACCAAGAUGGUCGAGAGAGAACAUGUGCUAGCUCCAAAUGUUCUUGAAAGAAUUUGAUGGUCGAAAGAUCAUUAUCCGUGAGUAGUAGAUCGUCAACAUAGACGAGGAAAGUAGAGGAUGAUAUGUCCCUCUUGAGUGAGAAAAAAGAGUUGAAGGUAAUAAUAAGAUUUAAUUUACCACGAUCAUCUCCCUUAUUUAAAAAUACACUUCAUUUAAAUCUCUUUUUAUUUUAGAAUACACUCAUUAAAGUACAGGUACACACAUACAAUUUUAUCAAUGAUCAGUUUUAUUUUUGUCAACAUCUGUGAUCAUCCAAACUAAUUGAAAUAGAAGGGGUAACCAUGCAUCCUGAAAGAAAACAUGAGCAAACAGAAACUUGGGAGAAAAACACACGAACUUCUAUUGUUUAUUACAAGUUCAAGCAGGAGGUGGAUGACCAACAGCAGAGCCAUGACCGGGAGCCGUCGGCCUAAAAGCAUCUUGAUCCACCGCUUUAUGACGACUAUAUCGAUAUCCCAGACCAGGCGUUGCUACGAAACCCGGACGUCUCUGCAUUAUAGCUGAAGGCAGAGGAUCAGAUGGAUGUUGAUGUUGCGGAUCAUCAUGGAGGGCUUGUUCAUCAUCUAGUGGCCUUGCCCUUGUUGCGGCUGUAAGGAGGACAAGUAUCAGAAGAAUAACUAUGUUACAGUGAUUAUGAUGAUAAUCGCGAUCAACUGCCAUCGCAAGAUGAAUAUUGAUCAGCAAACUGGUUUGAUGCAACAAGCUGAAGCCAAGCCUGGUAUUUAUUUCAGAUUUUCAAGUGGUGUGGUAAGGGUUUUAAUGGACCCACACGCGCGUGAUGUUUAACCUUUGUUGAUACUUGUUUUUUCAAUGCAAAACUAAUGCAGCAGCACUCAAUUAAGG